CCCAGCCCGCCCAUACCUAUAAUAGGAAUAACAGAGAAUCCACCAUCAUUUCUUGAAUCAUCCUUCAACAACAAUUCAACAAUUUCCUUCUUUUCUGUUUCCCUGCCAGAGACCUUGGCUUCAUUCACCAAAGAGGUUGUGGGUAGUCUUUGCCUGUCUUUUUUGGACCUCCCAGCUGAACUUACGUUCAAACCCAGCGAGUCUUUCUGUGUUACAAUAUCUUGAAAUCUGUCGUUGAUCUCAUUGAUUUUGGACAUUAUGGCGUAAUCGAACUGAAUCGAUUGUGGAGUAAAAGUGGUGCAGCAAGUAGGAAUGAGCUUCCGAAACUUACUUGUUCUUGUACGACUGCUACUGGGUUGAUCCUGAGCAGCAGCUGGAUCUCCAUUUCCAAGCAGCAACUUCCUCCGGAAAGCCUCAGUUUGAAACUCAUCCAACAAGUCUUCAACAUCAUAAGCCAAGUUCUGAAGCUUGCCAAGCCACUUCUUCACAAACUGAUUAGUCGUCUUCUUCUCCUCAGCAUCCUCAAGCACCGCCUUGAUCAUCUCCAGCAUAUUCGCCCACUUCAUCAGAUCGGCCUUGAUUUGCUCUUGGCGUGCAAAAAACAGAAUCCCCUCUGAAGCUAACUUAUUGACCAGCAAAUCAACGGACGCCGUAAGGAUUGCCUCUCCGAUGAUUGACAUUUUUUUUUUCUUUCUUCUCUCUUUUUUUUUUUUUUUGGGGGGGGGCAAAGAAAGAAGCAGAAUUUUGAGUUUUGAGAAGCAAAAUGAGAAAAUUGAACAGAAAGUGUGAAGGGUCAAGCAAAAUGCAGGUAACAAGUCUUCCACUUGUUGUUUAUUCCAGGAAAGGGAACAUAAAAACAGAGCCCACCACCCAUUAAUAAUUUAGCAAUUUACCAAUCACCAACCACCACCACUUGUUACCAGAUUCAAUAAAUAUAAAAUCGCACGUUGAUAUUUGUAGGGCCAAGCAACAUUAAUCCAAUGUCCGGGUAAAUGCUGAAUAAAGAGGGAGGUGGAAUGUAUCUGCUACGAACCUACGCUUUACAAGUCUUCAAAAUCAUAAUAAACCAAGUUAAAUCAAAACAUUUCUCUCUCUGUGUCUCUCUUAUAUAAUUACUUUAUUUAUUGAAUUAAUUUUCAUGCUAAGACGAAGACUUAAAUGUACAAUACAAUGUUUUAUAAUUACAAUGGUAAUUUCAACUAUCAUGUUAUAUUAAUAUCGUGUUAAAAUAAAUUAUAAUAAAAUAAAACAAAAAUUCUAAUGUGAAAACAAAAACUGUCCCACCACCAAUAAUUUAGCAAAGCUUCACUUUAUUACACUAAAGUGAAAACAAAAUCGGCCCCCACCACCAUCAAUAAAUUAGUACAUCCAUCUAAAUGGAAGUAGAAAUUGGAACUCACUUUAUGGCUCGUAUGCAAUACAGGUAUCAACAUUUAAUUAGAGUUCACACACAAACGUGUGUGUGUCUAGUUUUAAUUGAGAGAUAAAUUAAACAUAAAUACUUAGAUGUUUCUAAAUGAUUGACUAAUGAUAUUAUUGGUAUUUAUAAAUUUCUAAGAUGUGAUAAUUAUGUGGGGGACAUAUAUUUAUGGUUAUAGAAAAUGGCGGUAAAAGUGGUACAAAUAUAAUAUAAUAAAAAAAUAUAAACUGCAGUAAAUUAAUAUUUACUUCAAAGUACGUUAUAAAUAUCGCUUUCCUUAAUACGUUAUUUGCUCCCACCGAUUGAGUUAUGCAUAUGGAUUAAGCAAAUAUGCAUUUAGGAUACAAUAAAGCAUUGAUUUGUUUGUUUAUGUUAUAUAUCAAUGAAAGCAAACAUGAAUAUUCUUGAAUGUUAUAAGCCUAACGAGAAUUAAUAUAUUAUUCUUACAAAAAAAAUAAUAUGUUGGAUACUUGAUGCACAAAAAAUAAAUGUUAAUUGAUGAAAUUCUUUUGAAGAAAGAGGACUAGAAAAAAAAAAUGGUGUAGGAUCAUUUUAUUCAUGUCUAAUUGACAUUUAUUUUUUUAUGAAUGUGAAGGCAUUUUGGUAAUUUUAUGGUCACAAGAGUUGUAUGUUGUGGAUAGUUAUUCGUUUUGAACUACAUUGUGUGCAGUUAGUCGUAUUUCACAUUUAUAAAAAGUAACUAUGUCGUUUCCUUGGUUUGGAGAAAACCAAGCUGUGAAUAUGAACGAUAGUCAAGUUUAAGCAUUGUCAGUAUGAGUGAAAUAUGCAAACUCAUUUUCAUAUUUUAUUAUGAUUUUAGAGUGUAGUAAACCAUAUUUGUAAAAUAAGAUUUUAAUGCUCUAAUUUAAUGAUUUCUAGAAUAAAUUUGAUUUACGUAUUGGCACAUUAUUAAAAUUUUAUGAAUAUUGGUUUUCCCUAUCGAUUUUGAGUAAAGUAUAAUAGUAUUUUGAAGAAAAUAAAAGUAAAUUUAAAGUAUGUUAAUGGAAUGAAAAGAAGACUUAAUGUACGAUUAAAAAUGUGUUAUUUAUGUGUAUAAAAAUUUGUUAUUAAAAAUUAUGAGACAAAUCCCUCUCCCUCUGGUUAGAUACAGCUCAGAUGAGAGCCUUUUGGGGCCCCUCUGAAUACAUAGAGAGGUUAAUAGGCUGUGUUUUUUAGCGCUUUUGCCUUUUGGAGGCCCAUGCAUGUUACAUAUAAGAUAGAGGCCUUUGGGUCUAUCUGAGUGCACAUAGAAGCUUUGGAUCGUGUGCUUGGGUGCUUUUGUCCUUUAAGGACUAUUUUAUGUAUGCAGUAUGAUGAGAUAUGAUGAUAUAUAUGAGAUAGCACUUCAUUGAUCUAUCCUUUGUAGCUCCAGGCAUGACAGUGCUCGGAUAAUAUGUCAUUACACUACCCAUAUGAGGUCUAGGUACGACAAGAUCAUUUACUUGUUUAGUGACAGUUUAAGAAUCAAGUAUUCUAUGUUAUCUUUUGAUACGAUUUUCAUGUGUAUUUCGUACAAUAUAAUGUAUUCUUCAAUGACAAUUGUUCAAUUUAAAGUUUGAAUAAUUUAACAAUGUUCUUACUUAUAGAUUAGUAAAAUUGGUAUGUCGAAAAGAUAUGAUCAUCUUUAAAGGAAGUUACUUUCAAAAGAUGUUAUCCACUCACUGAGCUUACUAAUUUUUAUAUUCACCUUAUUUUAUUAUAUUUUUCCCUUGUAAAAGGAUGCAGAUACACCAAUUGAACGACCAACUGUAGUUAUUUUGAAUUUUUGGUCACGUGAUGGCGCUAGGAGAAAUAGAUGGUAUUAUGUAUUUUGAUCAUCUCAUUUUGAAAUGUAUAAUUGUAUUAUGAUUCGAUGAUUAUGGAUGUUUAAUGUAUAUUGAAAUCAGUUAUAUUAUAAUCUUUUCAUAUUGGAGAUGUUUGGGUGUUAUUUGGUAUUUAGUUGAGAAGGUUGAUUGAUGGAACUGAUUAUAUAUUAAAGUAUAUUAGGAGUGCUUGUAUAAAUUUUCAAUUUUGGGAUUGUUAUAUUUAUAAGGGAAAUAAUUGUCGAAUUUUCGGUAGAAUCGUUACUAAUUAAAUUAUUAUCAGUCAAGUUAGACGAUAUCAGAUAGACCUGCAUGGAGUUCAAGGCGAGUCGUUUCAAAUCAAGUCCUUUAUAAACCUCACUCACCCCUUGUUAGCUCUCCCUCGUUACAAGCAUCUAUCUAUCAAUAUAUCAAUCAAUGCUUACAUUUUCUUUCCUCUUAUACACCAAAAUGAAGUUCAUCUUGGCAAUAUUGCUGUGGCAUUAUUAUUGUCAAUAGUAUAGAACGUUUACAAUUAUCAUCUUCCGGUUGACCAAACCUCUAGCGACGUUCCAUUCGGAGCCAACUGUGUGGCCUCAGUCAGCCCGAAACUCUCUUUAAAACCCGAUGCUGAAAUUAAACCAAAAUGAAAUCCUCGGCGCAGCAAUAACUGUACUGAAGGAACGGGAUAUUCAAAUCUACGCGCAAAAGCAAGUGAUUAAUAAUUAAAAAAUAAAAAACAGCCUGCCGUUUUGAAAGUGUUAACUUUAUUGGAAAUGCAAGGAAUCAUUUAUUGGAAUGAACACCCGUUUGGACGGUAGUGAUUAGAGUCUGUGCUGUCACAUGCUUGUGUUUGCCUUUUAAAAUACGACAAAGAAUAAAAAAAAUGGAACGAAGAAAAGAAUCCGUUGCACUAUCGAAGCAGGAGAUUUGCCCAUGCGUCCUCAUCAGCAUCAAUGAACUUUUCGAUGUGUGAGGUGUGAACGCGUAGAUUUAUGACGAGGGUUGGUUGCCUGCACACGAAUCUAUCUUGUGGUCGCAAUCACGUGGAAGGUCCGAAAGGAAAAGCGAGGGCUUCGGCCUUCGGUCUAAUCGAAUGCGCUCGGCUUGAAAUUUUGGGAAGAAAAGGCCGAUUGUUGAAGAGCUCAACAACUAAAAAGCCGAGUAUAUGAACAGAGCGUGCUCAUGACUUCCAUUGGUGAAUACAUUAAAGUUGUAGAAGCUUGCGACAAAGCAAUUGGGCCAGCUAAGGCUGGCGAUUUUGCCGUCGCGAAAACGGCAGCUGAUGAAGCCGACCUGAGCGUUUCUCGCGCUAACGCAUACAAAAUCGAACCCGAACCUGAAACAUGUGACUUUGAACUUGAAAAUUGCUUCUAAAAAUGCAGUGACCAUAGCCAUCAAGGCUCUUAGUAAUCCUAGUGCUCAAAGCGAAAAUUGAAACAAGGAGAGCACAAUUAUUUAAUUUAAUUAAUGAUGAUUUCAUAUUUCUUUCAUCAUCGAUUUGUCUUUUUUAUCUUUUCUUUUUUUGAAUUUCUUCAUUUAGAUAUGCAAACCAAUGAUAUUCUUUUUGAUGAUAUUGUUGGAGUGAAUAAUAGUGAUAAUGUGUGCUCUUUGAAGCAGCUUUCUGCUUAUGUUGUAAUGAAUAAUUUUUUAAUUGGUUGGUUGAAUUAUUCGGUGCUUUUAUUUAUUUAAUUACGUGAUGAUCGUGCAUGACUAAUUUAAGUGGAUUCACAGAACUAAAAAAAUCAAAUAAUGAUGGAAAUCAAAACGAUUAAUUGAUUGUCUUCAUGUGUGUUAAUCAAUUAAUGCAAAGAUUAAUUGCCAAUUAAUCAAUACAUAAAUAUUUGUUGACUUAAUUUUUGUCAAUCAAUCAAAUUUUCUAAUCACAAUUGUAUCAUUUCUGUUUACUAUUUUAUCAUUCUGCAACAACUUUCUCUCACAAGGUAAUAGAUUGUAGUAUUUCAUACCAAAUUAAAACUUGUCCAUGUUACCGAUAAAAAUCAUGGUAGCAUUAUUAAAGAGCUUUUUCUUUUCUUUUUCUCCCCCUUUUUCUAUUUUGUCCUUUGUUUGAUUGGGCGUAAUGAAACAGAUAUAUCAAGGGACCAAGCAUGACCUAUAUAUAUAUAUGUGUAUCUUCAUCAACAAACAAAGAAAUAAGGGAUUGAAUUUGAUGUGUCAUAGCACAAUAAGUGAAAUUUGGACAGCCAAGACAAAUAUAGAACCAUCUAAUCCACGAAAGGAUAGACAUGGGACUUGACAUGAAAAUAAAUACAAAAACAAACACAAACAUUUACUCCUCCAAUGAUUGUUUCAAUAUCUUUACCCUUGAUAUUUGCUACAUUUUAUAAAAUAUAAAUCUGCUGGUAAAUUUUUUGUACCUUAAACAGUUUUCUGACUUAUGAGAAAAAAAACUAUUUUAAAAAAAAUAUUGCAGAGAAAAAUAAAAAAGAAAAAACUGCUAAAGAGACAAAAUAAUGGUAGAAUGCUGACAAAAAUAAUGUUAAAAUCAACUAGAUCACAUAAAAUUUGAUUACCUUCACUACUAUAAGAUUUAUUUGAUUAAUACAAAUUAAUUCAAAUCUGAUAUGUUAAGUAGAGAAUAACAAUGUUUUAGAUCAUUGUUUAUUUACAGUACAUGGAUAAACUGGGUAAUUAGUUAAAGAGCCGUAGACUAAAAAUGGAUUUAUGCAUUUAUCUUAUCUCCACAUUAUAUGUUGAUGCUUUCAUUUGUACUCGUUCUUUAGUUUCUUCUCAAUGCAAAUGCCAGGAUAGGUGGAACAACAUUUCCAAUGUGCUAUGCUUGUGUUGGAUGUUAUCAACAAUCUUGUAGCCAUCCGAAAAACCCUACGUGACAGGAAGUAAGAUUAAUUCAAAAGUAUAAUCACAAGUGAUGCAAAUAGUAACGAAAUCUAAACAGUUAAGAAGUUUUACAGUCAAACUUCUAAGAAUGGAGAUUUGUUCAUUGGUUUUAAAAUUUAUUUUGCAUAUUCUAAUUUUUCAUUUAAAUAAUUGCAUGAAUUUGGAUCCAGUGUUGAUCACAAUCUUGUAAGAAGAUACCCACAAAUCUUAGCUCAGCACUAAAUCCAAAUCUCAAUUGCAAAUAUCAAAAUAGCAAUAAGACGUACUCGAGAUCAAUCGCACAUUCACGAGCUUUCACCGAUUGUAUCUCUAACUGUUAUUGCACGGAAAGGAGCGCCAUUUGGUAACUUGGCCUUAAGCUCAGGACCGGCAAAGACGUGCAUUGGUUCUGGCCAUUCCGGCAUUGUUUCCUCAGGUGAAGCUGCCCAUACGAAUGCUUGUUUACGACAUGGAAACAGAUCGUAUGCUGCUGCUUCCAAUGCAUCGGGCAUCUUGAUAGGCACCCCUCUGUUAAGAAAUUGAUUCAGGCUUUUUGUACCACCCCACAACUUACUAUUUAUUCAAACAUAUUUACUUUAAAAGUCAGGGCAUCUUGAUAGGCACACCUCUGUUAAGUUAAAUGAAUAUCGGUGGGUGAGGUUUAUAAUAAUAGACAGCAACAACAUACCACAACUUCUUUAUGGACAUGCAAUCCAUCGGUCGUAGCAGAACUAGCUGACAGCGCCUGCGGGGCACGUGCAAUUAUAUUUUGAUCAGUGUUCACGAAGCUAAAGCAGUGUAAAUAACAGAUUAUGGCUUAAUUAAGUAAUUACCUGAAGGUGAUUAAAUAAUUGAGAAUGAAAUUAUAUUAUUAAGCAAAGACAUAAUUACCCCAUUUAUCUGUUUGAAAUCCCGUCUUGAGAGCAAAUGGCGGCACUGACGAGGCUUGCUCAAUUUCGGCCUGCAUGGCUGCAUGUCUGAUAAAGGUGGAAACAUAGUGCCUUUAGCUUAAUCGUAGAAUGUUAAAUCUGAUGCCGCUGAAUAUGGAGGGUGAUUCAUAUACAAGCUCUUUAUGAAUAUAUAGUUGUUAAUUAUAGGAGAAGUUGCAAUAUGAAGUUAAUUUGAAAUUUAUAUUUCUCACCUCGAAUAAUUUCUGGUAAAUUGCUGAUUCGAUAAAGUCAAACUUUCUUUAUGAUCAUCAUCUUCUUCUUGGUCUUCGCCUUCCGAUGUUCCCAUUUCUGAUGUUUCUCCACAUUUUCUUCCUCUUUUAACAACUUUCGUUGAAGAUUUUGUCAGAAAUAUCAUUGUGAGAAGAGUAUUUCUAAAGUUUACAACUUGGAAAUGAGACCUUAUGUGAUAUGUACAUGAAGGACAGAGUACAUGUCAGUAUUUAUAAGAAACAAUGUGAUGGUUUUAAAGAGACUAGUGGUGGUUUCAAAGAAACUAAAUAAAGUUUAUUAUUUAAUAAAAAGUCAAAUACAAAUCCUAAAGAAUCCGCUGUAUAAUCUGACAAGAUUUGGAAAACGGAGGCACAUGCAUGGCAAUAUCAUUACUUUGUAAGACUGGAUUAUUUUUAUAAAUUUUUAUCCAAAGAAACUAAAUAAAGUUUAUUAUUUAAUAAAAAGUCAAAUACAAAUCCCGAAGAAUCCGUUGUAUAAUGUGACAGGAUCUAGAAAACCGAAGCACAUGCAUAGCAAUAUCAUUACUUUGUACGAUUGGAUUUUUUUUAAUAAAUUUUUAUCCAAAGAAACUAAAUAAAGUUUAUUAUUUAAUAAAAAUUCAAAUACAAAUCCCGAAGAAUCCACCGUAUAAUCUGAUAGAAUCUGAAAAACGGAGGCACAUGUAUGGCAAUAUCAUUACUUUGUACGACUGGAUUAUUUUUACAACUUUUUAUCCAAAGAAACUAAAUAAAGUUUAUUAUUUAAUAAAAAGUCAAAUACAAAUCUCGAAGAAUCUGCUGUAUAAUCUAACAAAAUCUGAAAAACAGAGGCACAUGUAUGGCAAUAUCAUUAUUUUGUAUGACUGGAUAAUUUUUACAAAGUUUUAUCUAAUCCCUUGUUUGAUGCCAGUAAAUCAAUAUUUAAAUAUAUAGUUAUUUUGUUAUGUUAUUUGAUUUUAACUAUUAAUGUCAAUAUUGGAAUAUAUCUUUAUAUUGAACUAAUAAAACAACUGUAUAAAGACAUUUGAAUAAACUUAAUUACGAAUUUUGAAUUCAUGAUGUAAGAUAGCAUUUGCUUUUUAAUCUGAAAUCUGAGUGGGGUUUGAAUUUGGCUGAAAUAUGAAUAUCUUUAAAUUGCAUAUGUUUAAAUGACAUGUUUAUUUUCUCUUUUUCGAUAUCCAAAUAUAAGGGGCAUCUUUUUUUUAUAUAUAUAAAUCAAAAACAUCCAAAGUAUGAUUAUUUAACAUUUAUGUUUUUGUAAGAAUUAUUUGUACUUAUUAUAAAUUUUAAGAGUUAAAUACAUGCACAUUACAAUUAAAAUCAAACAUACGUAGAGUUGAGUAAUUGAUCUUUAAAUAAAAAUAUUAUUACAUUACUCCAAAUAUAAAAUUGAUUCAAAUUUAUUAUACUAAUUAAAAUGUGAAUAAAUUUAAAUUUAAUUUUAUAAUUUACAUCAUCUUUUUUACCAUUUUAAAUUGUAAAGCCCAUUCGCCCAAACCUAGUCUUAGUUAGUUGUACAUAAGUGUAAAGGCCCAUAUGUUCUUAAGAAGUGUUAAGUUUUCAUAGACCCAUAAGUGAAUGGAGAAAUGUAAUGCCCCAAAUUCAAGCCAGAGUUAUAACUGUUGGCAGAUUUGUAUAAUCUUUUUAAAACAAUUCUCUAAUUAUGUUAAAAGACAAAAUAAAUCUAAUUAAAUUCUUAUAUUUCUCUCUCUUUCUCUAUAAGUUUCUUUUUCUAGUUCAUUACUCCCACACAACUACACCAAAGUCUUUUAUAUAUAUAUAUAUAUUUUAUUUUCUCUCAAACACUUUGUAUAUUACAUAAUAACUAUUUAAGUCCAUUUUUAGUUCUACUCAAUUCAAGUAUAUAGAAUUUUCUUUUUAAUUAAAUAUAUAUGAUUUAAACUUUCAAAAUUUUGUAAAAACAAUAUCCCUAAUAUGAGGUUUGUGGAAGAAGUUAAAUUUUUUUUAAUAAAAAAGAAACUAAAAUUUUAAAAAAGAGUUUUUGAAAACUUAAAAUAGGUUUUGAAGGGGGGGGGCUUGAGAAAAAAAAUUAUGAGGUGCUAUUAGUUCCACUCUUCAAGCAAAGAUACACAGACCUUUACUCUUCCAAAUAAAUUUUGCGGUGAAUUUUAUUGUUGGCUAAUCACGCUGAUAUGAGUGUGAAUAUGAAAAGGAUAAAACUUAUAAUAAAGAAUUAUAUGAACUUAUAAUAAAGCAUUAUAUGAACUAUAUUUUAAAGAGAAAAUAUAUUUUUAAAACUAUGAAAAUUUUCUUGCAAAUAUGAGCUAGGGAGAUAAAUUGAAGAGGUUACAUGUCAUCAAUCUAGUUACUUCAGAAAAUGUAGCCCAAUGUCUUCAGAUGGGUUAGUGUUGGUGUGUUACUAAGAAAUAGGCCGAAGUUGUAAAAAUAAAAAAUAAAAACAGUAGGUUUUCAUAUUAACAAAGAACAGUUAUUUCACAGAACACAUGAAUAUCUCUAUGAUGUUGAUGCUUUCAUUUCUACAGCUUCUAUUGGAAUUGGUUCAGCCAUGAUCAUUGGCAAUCAGCCAAGAUUAUUGGCAAUAUUGUAGGCUAUGUCUUUACCCGUUAGAAGCAUAACUUGUGCAGUUAAUUUUGGCACAUCACAUGUUUGACGAAAUUGCCAUAACAAAUGCAUAACUCAUGUACUCUUUCUUUUUUUAUCAUUAAUUCUGUACUAUAAAUAUGUACCUGUAAAUAGUGAAAUACACACAAAAAUCAUUUCUUUUAUCAAUUGUUCUUCUUCUAAUAUAUUUUACAGCUUCUUUUAGUUUUCUCCCCAGUGCAAACUCCAGAGGAGGUGGAACAGCAUUUCCAAUCUGCCGAUGCUUGUGUUGGAUGUCACCAACAAAUUUAUAGCUAUCGGAGAAACCCUGCUGGAAUCAAGAGAGCAGGGUAACAUGACAGCAGAAACAGUUGGCAAAAUUUAUCUUGUUUGAUUCAGUAAUUAGCUUGUCAAGUUAAAAGUGUCACCGGUGCUGCAUGAAAAUUAUUUUUGGUCAUUCUGGUUUUUCAGCAUUCCUACUAACUGCAGGAUAUUUACAUAUAUAGCCAAAAAGACUUGUGAUCGAGCACACUCACGAACUGUGAUUAUUCUAUCCUGAUCUGGGUGAAAGCACGUUCCGACCAUACCCAUCGGAUGAGGAUCAGUAACGGAGGUUGGAAAGUUUCCUUUCCAGUCCAACCUUCCGAACAGACCCUUCCAUUGAUUAUGCUUUUCAGCUGUAUUGGGUAAGCACCAGGGUAUUAAAUCUACAAACUGUCCGUUAGACAAUCGAACCUGGAGGGGGAAUUUGAAAAGGAAAAUGUUUAAAACCAAAGCAAUUAUGAAAUGAUAAUUUCAGUUGGAUCUAAAAGAAAAACUAUACACCUUCUCACUAGGAAGAACACGCCAAUCGGAACCAGGCUGUUUUGGGAUCUUUUGACACCUAAUAAGGUUCAGCUCACUCAUUGCCUUUGAUAUAUGAUCGUUUAAGACCAGCAUAUCUCCUCUGAUUUUCUUUUGAAACCCUGACACUAGUUCACUUUUAUACUGCACGGUAGGAAAAUACAAGAAACAAGACCUUUGGUAGAAGGAACAACAAUAAAGAUAAAAUGAGCAUCACAGACAGGUGAAGAAAAUCCCACUUCCAUGGUUGUUACAGAAGCCCCAUUGCCAACAGUUGGGAGGUCUCCAAUUGUAUCUCUAACUGUUAUUGCACGAAAAGGAGCACCAUUUGCGGUGCUUCGAACAGCAGCAUAAUGGGAAUUUCUAGCUAACUUGACCUUUAGCUCAGGGCCAGUGAACACAUGCAUUGGCUCAGGCCAUUCUGGAAGGGUUUCCUCAGGUGAUGCUUCCCAUAUGAAUGCACGUUUACGAGACUGAGACAUGCCAUAUGCUCCUGCUUGCAGGACACCAAAUCUCACCUACAACAACAAAUUAGAUGAAUAAUUUGUAUAAGCUACAUGAUACUUUCACAAUUUUCAGAUUAAAUUGACAAAUGAAAUGGAGAAACAAAUUCAGGGAAUUUUGAUAGGUACCCCUCUAUAAAGUUAUGAGUGAGUAAAUCAAAAAUGGUAUCUACAAAAUAUAUUAAGAUCUCAUUUUUUAUAUAUUUUUUAUACAAAUUUUUUUUUUCUCAAAGCAGUGCAUGGCAGUCUUUCUUGAAUCUGACUUUUCAAACACAAACUCUACAAAAUAUAUUGAAGGCAAAUGAUCUGAAUCUGCAGUUUCAACCACCAACAUUAACCACAUUGCCACAAACAAUGGCACGUUUGUAAAGAGACUCACUGAAACAUGUUUUUCUUAUUAACUCCCCAUCCCAUUUGGUAGCCUUCGAAGAGCAAGGUGGCUUAACACUUAUCGCAGAUAAACAAAAUUUCUCCAUAUUCUUAUCAGCUUGCAUCUGUUCCACUCUAAUGUCUUCAGGAUCUUCCUCACUAUUUUCUCCAUGUUCUUCAUCGAGUUCUUCAUCCGCUUUCGCUUCACGGAUAUAUGCCUCCUUUGAAUCUUCAGGCAAAUAAUUUGAGUAAAACUCUUCCCAAAUCCUCUUUAUGAAUCUCGUGGUUGUUGCUUGCAUUACCUUGUUUUUUGAUGCUCUCAGAUUUGAAUUUAUUUCCUUCUUCAGCACCACCUUUUUUUUCACCAAAGACCUGGUGUGGCGUCUUUCCUCCAUUUUUUCAAAAAGACCAGACACAAAUGCACACUUGCUGAUCCUUUUAUUAGGAAGCUCUGCAAAUUGUUGGAGUAUGAUAUGUCCAUGAACCACCACAUACCUUUCAAAUUCUGUGGGAUUGGAAGAAUAUAAGCAGGAUUAAUCUUACUGAACUUGGACACUUUUUUGAUUACAUCUGCAAACGAGAGUCGAGAUGCUCGACUCUGAUUGUUCAACAUUGUAAUGAUGGCAAUAGCAAGCCUCGCAGUUUUUGGAACUGGUUUGUACCACGCUGCAUACUGCUUACAAGAAGACUAACGGCAAAUCGCGGAACAAGUCCCUCAAGGAGCAAGGACGAGAUCGCGACGAGGACGCCGCGAGCUUAGGUGGGGGAGGAUGUUACGGUCCGCCCAAAUCGCUAGCCCAAUUACCCAUAAUUUCAGGCUAGAGAGCCAACACAAAGCCAAGAGUGCUAGCUUGGCCCAAUUCCAGAAACUUCUAGGCAAUUCUUGCACAAAUGAGCUUGUAAAUAUUCUAGAAUACUCCAUACUUUUCCAGCACAUGUAAAUAUCUAGAAUUCUAGGCACAUUGUAGAAUUCUCUAGAAUCUCUAGAGCUUGGCAAGCCUCCCCUAUAAAUAUGGGAUGGCAUUAGGCAUUUGCAUCCAACAAACACUACAACAAGCAACUCAAGCAUUGUAAUCUCUUUUGUGCAAUACAAGUUUCUUCUUUGGCUUAAUUGCUCUCUUCUCUAGUCCGAGAAGUUCUAGGUUUACUUAGCAACAUUCGGCAAAGUUGUCUAAGUGCCGCACGGGUUAGCUGCGCAAAACACUCAUCCCGUGACAUUAAGCACUAGUACCACCACCAAACCUCUUGAUAGUAUACCCAUAUAGAUGCAUACCAGGAAAUAUCUGUCCGAACUGAUAUGGAAAGGAACGAGUAUCCAAAUUCGAUCAUCCAUUCCUGUAUUGCACUCAAAUAUAUUGGUAUUCCCCCAAUAUUCUCUGCCACAGAUGAAGACUGAUCAAAAUUAGCAUCAACACAUAAUCCACUUGAAUCACCAGUUGUCAUAAUCCCGGACCCAAAGAUGGUAAUAUCAUUAUCAUCACAUGGUUUCAUUGGGAGGAACUCCAAAGAAAUCAACCGCGAAUCUGAGUUGUAAAGUGACCAAUUGUGAAGCAUUCUUCGAGAAAGCUCAUCAGGAUUAAUUGCAUCAAAGAUUAAAUACUCAUCAUUUUGCUCCUCACUGGGCUUGUAAUAUGCAGGCAGAGGAUAGUCAUCAACAAUUUCAUCUUCAUUGAUUUUACUGCAGAACUUGCUUGAUGAAGCAACUCUCCUCUGAGUUUUAUUAUGUUUCGUUGAUUGCCAAUUCUCCUCUUCCUGCAACAGCCUUGCCAAUUUCAUAUCUUUAUCUUCUUCACCUCCAGAAGCAGAUGAACUAGACUGAUUGUUUUGCUCUUCUUCUUCACUGCUGGAUGCACUGGUUUCCAGGUAAUUAAACUCCCUUGCUUCCUAGUUUCAUCCAGCAGUGCAAGGAGCACAGGCAAGUUCUCAAAGAUCUGAUCAUUUUUUUUUGGAUGUCUCAUCUAAACCGAUGAGUUGAUUGUAUAUGAAUUCAACCUGUGAGAUUAUAAAUUCCCUCAUAGAUGUCCUGUGAGGAAAAUUCUUGCUAUCACUCAUGGAACGAACAACUCCUGCAAGCAAUUCAUCGACAGUCUGAUCAGGGUUCCCUCCACAAGAACUUGAAAGUUUUUUAUAGACCUCCACAGAGGCACGAGCCUUUUCAUAGAAAAGGUUAUAUAGUAUUUUAUAACUAUUAGCAGGUUUAACACAAUCAUAGUCUGCAGUGACAGUUGAAAUCCAAAAUACCGGUGAGCCUUCCUCAUAUCCAGAUAUUGCCCAAGAUUCAACUCGUCCGAAAUCUUCACAUCUAACAACAUUUUUCAAGAGGCAAUAUAAGACCUGAAACGAACAAGUUUCCAACUUCCAACAUUUCAACAGACUUUAGGUUUCCACAAGCAUCAUGAAAGGCAAUUCUGUUAGCCUUCGAUUUGGUCUAACGUCAUCCUUUCUAGCGGUCAAGCUUAUUGCAUCCUCUUCAUUUUCUGCAACAACUUCUUCCCUUGUGCUUUCCACAAAAGAUGCACUUCCAGAGAAGGAAAGAGAUUUAUCCAUGAUAUCCAUACAUGCAGCAGCUCUCUUUGGCAUUUUCCAAGAAUUGGAUGCUUUUUCACUAUUUUCAUGUCUACUUCUCUUUUCUUCUUUCAUAAAAAUACUCAUAAACUUUACUCAAAUUAUCAAAAAAAAAAAAGAAAAAAAUCAUAUAGUUAAUUUUUCUUCUUCUUUACUCCAUUAUUCAAUGGGAGUAUAAUAAAUUAGGAAAAAGGAGAAAUUAAGAAGAAAAUUAGGGUGAUUAUUGCAAUGAGAAGAACUCAGGCAAGUGCUUAUUUCAGAUACAUGCGUGGCAUUCAUUAAUUUGACCAAAAAUAAAUGAAUUUGUUUGUAUUUUAAUCAAAAUCGAGGGACAUCAACAAAAUUUUUCCACUCCAGGUAUUUAUCAUUUUCUCGUUAAGAAAAAAAAAUUGCAUAAAAUUAAGAAACCAGUAGUCACUAAACGAGAGAAACAGAGUAAGGAGAGUUCAAAUUUCAAAAGAUAGAACCCAAAGAAGAAACCCUAGCAACGAUCCCAGAAGAAGAAGAAGAUGAUGAUGAUGAUGAAGACACAGCCAUGCCCAACGUUAAGCACAACCCUAAAACAAAACAAAACAAAAGACAACUCUUCGGACUCGAGCGAUGCCUCUGACUCUGACUCGGAUUCUGUCUCAGAAGACGAAGCAAAACAGAACAUGGAGCUUCAAAACUAGAGUAUCAUCUAUCCAAUGAACCUCCAAAUUAUGACACCCAUGUUCAAGUAACUUCAAUACGCAUACUUAUUCUGUGAUUUUGUGGAUACCCAUUUGCUUGUUCUUUCUUAAUUGGGUUGCGAUAAAAAUGGCUUUUUUUUCUUCAGUACAUAAAAGUUUUGAGAAAAAUGGGUGAGAUAGAGAAGCUGAGACAAGCUAGGGAAGCGAUGAAAGAGAUUAUUUCCAUUGAUUCCUGCUAAGUGGCAAGAAUGGGCGAGAGAUGAAGCCUCUAUUUCAACUGGGUAUCUGUCAUUUCCUUUUUGCAGUGGUUUUCGAUUUUUUGAACAAAUAUUUUUUUUGCUUAGAGAUAUAGAUGUUUAUGUUCGUUAUUUGCUAAUGUAAAAAGGAACAAAACCUGCUUAAAAGGUAUGAAAAAGUGAACCAAUUUGAAGAAGGGAAUACUUAUAGUGGAGUUCUAUUCUUUGGGGUUUAAUUGAUGGGAGAAGAAACAGCUUAUAUGUUUACAGAAUUAGACAUUUGAUCGCUGAGUUAGUUGAGGAAGAUAUUUAAGGGAGAAUUGUGUGGGAUGUACCCCAUUCCCUUCAAAAUACCCAAUAUAUACCUAAAAUUAUAACACUCUUAAAUUUUACACAUAUAUACUCUAAAAAAUUAGAGAAAGUACAAAAAUAACCACAACUAAAUCCUCAUAAAACUAAACCCAACUCCUCGAAGUCGGGUAAAUGGUCUAGAAUACUCGACUUCAACCAAACCAUACACAAUUAAUAAUUCAGCAUAAAUUCUCGACUUUUUCAUGUUAGUCGGGUAAGUAGUCGAGAAUACUCGACUUCAAUUGAAAUAAAAAAUUAUCUGAAAAAUUCUUAAUUUUUUCAAGUAAGUCGAGUAAAGAGUCGAGAAUACCCGACUUUAAUUUAACCUUACCCAAUAUUCAUUCAGCAAAAAUUCCUGACUUUUCAUUGAAGUUUGGUAAUUGGUUGAGAAUACUCGACUUAAAUUGAAAUGAAAAUUUUCCUUUUAAUUAAGUCGGGUAAAAAGUCGAGUAUACUUGACUUUGGUUGUGUUAUUAUAUAGAAGUCAUGAGAGAAAGCAAACGUAAAUAGAUGAUUUUUUAAGGUUAUUUUUGACUUUUUACACUUUUUGGAGGUAUAUGUAUGUAAUAGGGUAUAGAUUUGGCAUUUAAGGACAAAUGGGGUAUAUUUAAAUAAAAAACCCGAUAUUUAAUCACAAUGUCUGAUGUUGUUUCUGUUGGCCUCAGCUAAUUGUUAAGAUUUCAUACUUUCAUUCAACAAUGCAAUAGACUUUGGUUGGGUCCACCUUAGUUGGGUGUUUUGAGGAACCAAGAGUGUCUUGAGAAAACUUGGGUGGAGUGCGGAUCAUUUUCAGGAUUCAGUUUCCAAGAAAGCAAAAACGAAGUUGAAAAAUCAAAUAAUGACAGAAACAAAAUAAUAAAUCAAAACGAUUAAUUGAUUGUUUUCAUGUGUGUUAAUCAAUUAAUACAAAGAUUAAUUAUCAAUUAAUCAAUGCAUAAAUAUUGUUGACUUAAUUUUUGUCAAUCAAUCAAAUUUUCUAAUCACAAUUGUAUCGUUUCUGCAACAUCUUUCUCUCACAAGGUAAUAGGUUGUAGUAUUUCAUACCAAAUUAAAACUUGCCCAUGUUACCGAUGAAAAUCAUGAUAACAUUAUUAGAGAGCUUUUUUUUUUCUUUUUUCCCUUACCCUUUUUUCUGUUUUGUCCUUUUGUUUGAUUGGGCGUAAUGAAACAGAUAUAACAAGGGACCAAGCAUGACCUAUAUAUAUAUUCAACAAGCAAGGAAACAAGGGAUUGAAUUUGAUGUGUCACAGCACAAUAAGUUAAAUCUUAAAUUUGGACAGACAAGACAAAUAUAGAAGCAUCUAAUCCACCAAAGGAUAGACAUGGGACUUGACAUGAAAAUAAAUACAGACACAAACAUAAACAUUUACUCCUCCAAUGAUUGUUUCAAUAUCUUUAUCCUUGAUAUUUGCUCACUUUUAUAAAAUAUAAAUCUGCUGGAAAAUUUUGUGUACCUUAAACAGUCUUCUGACUUAUGAGAAAAAAACUAUUUUAAAAAAAAUAUUGCAGAGAAAAAUAAAAAAAAAACUGCUAAAGAGACAAAAUAAUGUCAGAAUGCUGACCAAAAUAAUGUUAAAAUUAACCCGUUAAUGUGUUGACAAUUGAGUGAUUAUUAUUAACUUAAGUUUGUUUAAUUGUCAAUUGAGUGAUUAUUAGGCCGAAUUGAUAAAGAACUUUUAAUAAUAUAUGAAAUCUCUUUUUUCAUCAAUCAUGUCUCAAAAUGGUUGGCGAGUAAGCAAUGUUUGGCUUGUCCAACUGCAUUGUCGUGGCCUUGAUAUUUUAACCUAAUAAUGCAAUGAGGUGAUGAUCUCAUUUGCUUUAUCUAUAAGUUAUCCCGAUUUAAUUUAAAACAGAUGUUUCAUUCCCUGUUCUUUGAAUUUUAAAAGUUUUUACUGUAUGUACAGCAAUUAUAAAUUUAAUUUGCGGUUUAAUCGUUAAGCAUGAAUAAUGAUAUGAUCUAACAUACAACUUUAUGUUUAGAGUGAAGUACCCAUAUUUAAAGGUUCAAUAAUAUAUGAAAUCUAUUUUUUCCUUCAAUAAAAAUAUAUAUCUCCCACGUAUAAUUUUAAGUGAGACGAACGUAACAUUUUCUCCCAUAUACAUCCAAUUUGAAAUAAAUCAAUGGUGAUAGUGAUAUUAUUAUGAGAGUAAAAUUACGAAACACAUGACAUGAUUUUAUUAAAUAAUAGUACCUUUAAAUCUCUGUCAUGGUCAAAAAAAAAAUUUGUCACUUUCUUUUAUGUCAAUAAAAAUUAGCUUUUUUUUUUCUCUUUUUUCUCUUUAAAAGAAGAGAAUAACAAUGUUUUAGAUCGUUGUUUACAAUACAUGGAUAAACUGGGUAAUUAGUUAAAGACCUGUAAACCAAAAAUGGAUUUAUGUAUUCAUCUUAUCUCCACAUUAUAUGUUGAUGCUUUCAUUUCUACUCGUCCUUUAGUUUCUUCUCAAUGCACAGGCCAGGAUAGGUGGAACAACAUUUCCAAUGUGCUAUGCUUGUGUUGGAUGUUAUCAACAAUCUUGUAGCCAUCCGAAAAACCCUACGUGACGAGGAAGUAAGAUUAAUUUAAAAGUAUAAUCACAAGUGAUGCAAAUAGUAAUAAAAUCUAAACAAUUAAGAAGUUUUACAGUCAAACUUCUAAGAAUGGAGGUUUGUUCAUUGGUUUUAAAACUUAUUUUGUAUAUUCUAAUUUUUCAUUUAAACAAUUACACAAAUUUUGAUCCAGUGCUGAUUACAAUCUUGUAAGAAAAAAAGCACAAAUCUUAGAUCAGCACUAAAUCCAAAUCUCAAUUCCAAAUAUCAAAAUAGCAAUAAGACUUACUCGAGAUCAAUCGCAUACUCACGAACUUUCACCGAUUGUAUCUCUAAUUGUUAUUGCACGGAAAGGAGCGCCAUUUGGUAACUUGGCAUUAAGCUCAAGACCGGCAAAGACGUGCAUUGGUUCUAGCCAUUCCGGCAUUGUUUCCUCAAGUGAAGCUGCCCAUAUGAAUGCUUGUUUAGGACAUGGAAACACAUCGUAUGCUGCUGCUUCCAAUGCAUCGACCUCGCCUAUAAUAACAACAAUAAAUAGAUGAAUAAUCUAAUCGGAGGUGAUUGUACAUAUACCGACAAUAGGGUUUAUUUUAACUAUGACACAAUUGCACAACUAAUUCCCAGACGAAGGCUCAAUUUAGGACUGGUUAGGCAAUUAAAAAGUGUUUCGUAAGGACUUUCAAUUAUGAUUUGGAAGUUAAAGAUAAUUUUACUCAAUUGUUUGAUGAAAUUGUAUUAGAUCUUGGCCAGGACUUGACUGAGUGUUUUCAAUCAGCUUUCUUUGGCUAGUCACUCAAGUUUAAACCCUGUAAGUGGGAUGAACCAAAGAAAUUGAUUCAGGCUUUUUGUACCACCCCACAACUUACUAUUUAUUCAAACAUAUUUACUUUAAAAGUCAGGGUAUCUUGAUAGGCACCCCUCUAUGUUAAGUUAAAUGAAUAUCGGUGGGUGAGGUUUAUAAUAAUAGACAUCAAUUACAUACCACAGCUUCUUUAUGGACAUGCAAUCCAUCGGUCGUAGCAGAACUAGCUGACAGCGCCUGCAGGGCAUAUGCAAUUAUACUUUGAUUAGUGUUCAUGAAGCUAAAGCAGUGUAAAUAACAGAUCAUGGCUUAAUUAAUUAAUUACCUGAAGGUGGUUAAAUAAUUGAGAAUGAAAUUAUAUUAUUAAGCAAAGACAUAAGCUAAAUUACCCCAUUUAUCUGUUUGAAAUCUCAUCUUGAGAGCAAAUGGCGGCACUGACGAGGCUUGCUCAAUUUCGGCCUGCAUGGCUGCAUGUCUGAUAAGAGUGGAAACAUAAUGCCUUUAGCUAAAUCGUAGAAUGUUAAAUCUGAUGCUACUGAAUAUGGAGAGUGAUUCAUAUACACGGUCUUCACGAAUAUAUAGUUGUUAAUUACAGGAGAAGUUGCAAUAUGAAGUUAAUUUGAAAUUUAUAUUUCUCACCUCGAAUAAUUUCUGGUAAAUCGCUGAUUCGAUAAAGUCAAACUUUCUUUAUGAUCAUCAUCUUCUUCUUGGUCUUCACCUUCCGAUAUUCCUAUUUCUGAUGUUUCUCCACAUUUUCUUCCUCUUUUAACAGCUUUCAUUGAAGCUUUUGACAGAAAUAUCAUUGUGAGAAGAGUAUUUCUAAAGUUUACAACUUGAAAAUGAGACCUUAUGUGAUAUGUACAUGAAGGAUAGAGAACAUGCCAAUAUUUAUAAGAAACAAUGUGGUGGUUUUAAAGAAACUAAAUAAAGUUUAUUAUUUAAUAAAAAGUCAAAUACAAAUCCCGAAGAAUCCGCUGUAUAAUAUGAUAAAAUCUAGAAAACGGAGGCAUCUGUAUGGCAACAUCGUUACUUUGUAUGACUGGAUUAUUUUUAUAAAUUUUUUAUCCAAAGAAACUAAAUAAAGUUUAUUAUUUAAUAAAACAUUAAAUACAAAUCCCGAAAAAUCCGCUAUAUAAUCUGACAGAAUCUAGAAAACGGAGGCACAUGCAUGGCAAUAUCAUUACUUUGUACGAUUGGAUUAUUUUUAUAAAUUUUUAUCCAAAGAAACUAAAUAAAGUUUAUUAUUUAAUAAAAAGUCAAAUACAAAUCCUGAAGAAUCUGCUGUGUAAUCUGACAGAAUCUAGAAAAUGGAGGCACAUAUAUGGCAAUAUCAUUACUUUCUACGACUGGAUUAUUUUACAAAUUUUUUUCUAAUCCCUUAUUUGAUGCUUGUAAAUCAAUAUUUAAAUAUAUAGUUAUUUGAUUUUAACUAUUAAUGUCAAUGUAGGAAUAUAUAUUUAUAUUGAACUAAUAAAACAAUACUAUAAAGACAUUUGAAUAAACUUAAUUAUGGAUUUUGAAUUCAUGAUGUAAGGUAGCAUUUGUUUUUUAAUCUAAAAUUUGAGUGAGUUUGAAUUUAGCUGAAAUCUGAAUAAGUUUGAAUUUUGUAUGUCUAAAUAAAUGACAUGUUUGUUUUCUCUUUUUCGAUAUAUAAUUAUAAGUGGCAUUUUUUUUAAUAAAUCAAAAACAUAUGAAAUAUGAUUAUUUAACAUUUAUGUUUUUGUAAGAAUUAUUUAUACUUAUUAUAAAUUUUAAGAGUUAAAUACGUGCACAUUACAAUUAAAAUCAAACAUACAUAGAAUUGAGUAAUUGAUCUUUAAAUAAAAAUAUUAUUACAUUACUCCAAAUACAAAAUUGAUUCAAACUUAUUAUACUUAUUAAAAUGUGAAUAAAUUUAAUUUUAAUUUUAUAAUUUAAAUAAUCUUUUUUACCAUUUAAGAUUGUAAAAGCCCAUUCGCCCAUACCUAGUCUUUAUUAGUUGUACAUAAAUGUAAAGGCCCAUAUGUUCUUGAGAAGUGUUAAGUGAAUGUAUAUGUGUAAUGUCACUAAAUUCAAGCCAGAGUUAUAACUGUUGGCAGAUUUGUACAAUCCUUUUAAAAUCGUUCUCUAAUUAUAUUAAAAGACAAAAUAAAUCUAAUUAAAUUCUUAUAUUUUUCUCUCUCUAUAAAUUUCUCUUUCUAAUGGGAGAAAGAUAUCUACACCCCCAAAUUUUUGGAAAAUGGUCAUCAACACCUCUAAGUUUUCAAAGAGGGACACCAAGACUCCUUUUUGACGAUUAUAUCAUUUAUCUCUAUUAUCUCAAAAGAAUUAACUCUAAUAUUUUACAAUAAAUAGAAAUAUGAUAUUAAAAUAAAUAUAAUAAUAUAUACAUUUUAAAAUAAUUUCAAUUUUUAAAAAAUAUUUUAAUAUUUUAUAAUCUAUUAGAUAUAUUUUAUUAUAUUAAAGUAAAUUUUAUGAUAAAUAGAAUCAUAAUAUUAAAAUAAAUGUAUUAAAAUUAAAAUUAUAUUGAAUAUUACGUAAAAUAAUAAUUUUAAAAAUAUUAGUAUGUGAGAAUAUUUUUAAUUGUAGAACGUAUUUAAUGCAAAUAUAUAUUUAAAAUCUUUACAAUAAAUAAAAAUAUAUUAUUAAAAUAAAUAUAAUAAUUUACAUAUUAAAAUUUAUUAAAAUAUGAAAUAUUUUAAUAUUGUUAGUCUACUGCAUAGAUUAUAUUAUUUAUAUGGCAUUGACAUUUACUAAAAAUUUUAAAGUCAAUUUUUUAGAAUAAUAGAGAUAAAUGGUAUAAUGGUCAAAAGGAGGUCUUGGUGUCUCUCCUUAAAAGCUUGGGGGUGUUGAUGACCAUUUCUCCAAAUCUUGGGGGUGUAGAUGUCCUUUUUCCUUUUCUAAUUCAUUACCCCCACACAACUACACCAAAGUCUUAAAUUUUUUUUUUAAAGUCUUUUAUAUUUUUUUUGUUUUCUCUCAAACACUUUGUAUAUUACAUAAUAGUUAUUUGAGUCCAUUUUUAGUUCUACUCAAUUGAAGUAUAUAGAAUUUUCUUUUUAAUUAAAUAUAUAUGAUUUAAACUUUCAAAAAUUUGUAAAACAAUAUCAAUAAUAGGAAGUCUGUAGAAGAAACUAACUAUUUUUUAAUAAAAAAGAAACUGCAAUUUUAAAAAAGAGUUUUUGAAAAAUUAAAAUAAGUUUUGACAGAAAGGGGGGCUUGAGAAAAAAAAAUUACAAGGUGCUAUUAGUCCCACUCUUCAAGCAAAGAUACACAGACCUUUUCUCCUCCGAAUAAAUUUUGCGGUGAAUUUUUAUUGUUGGCUAAUAACGUUGAUAUGAGUGUGAAUAUAAAAAGGAGAAAACUUAUAAUAAAGGAUUAUAUGAACUAUGUUUUAAAGAGAAACAUAUACGAGCUAGUGAGAUAAAUUGAAGAGGUUACGUAUCAUCAAUCUAGUUACUUCAGAAAAUAUGGCCCAAUGUCUUCAGAUGGGUUAGUGUUACUGUGUUAGUGUGUUACUAAGAAAUAGGCCGAAGUUGUAAAAAUAAAAAAUAAAAAUAGUAGUUUUUCAUAUUAAAAGAGAACAGUUAUUUCACAGACCACAUGAAUAUCUCUAUGGGGUUGAUGCUUUCAUUUCUACAACUUCCUUUAGUUUUCUCCCCAGUGCAAACGCCAGAGGAGGUGGAACAGCAUUUCCAAUCUGCCGAUGAUGUGUUGGAUGUCACCAACAAAUUUAUAGCUAUCGGAGAAACCCUGCGGGAAUCAAGAGAGCAGGGUAACAUGACAGCAGAAACAGUUGGCAAAAUUUAUCUUGUUUGAUUCAAUAAUUAGCUUGUCAAGUUAAAAGUGUCACCGGUGCUGCAUGAAAAUUAUUUUUUGUCAUUCUGGUUUUUCAUCAUUCCAACUAACUGCAGAUUUUUACAUAUAUAGCCAAAAAGACUUACUUGUGAUCGAGCACACUCACGAACUGUGAUUAUUCUAUCCUGAUUUGGGUGAAAACAGGUUCCGACCAUACCCAUCGGAUGAGGAUCAGUAACGGAGGUUGGAAAAUUUCCUUCCCAGUCCAACCUUCCGAACAAACCCUUCCAUUGAUUGUGCUUUUCAGCUGUAUUGGGUAAGCACCAGGGUAUUAAAUCUACAACCUAUCUGUUAGACAAUCGAACCUGGAGGGGGAAUUUGAAAAGGAAAAUGUUUAAAACCAAAGCAAUUAUGAAAUGAUAAUUUCAGUUAGAUCUAAAAGAAAAACUAUACACCUUCUCACUAGGAAGAACACGCCAAUCGGAACCAGGCUGUUUUGGGAUCUUUUGACACCUAAUAAGGUUCAGCUCACUCAUUGCCUUUGAUAUAUGAUCAUUUAAGACCAGCAUAUCUCCUCUGAUUUUCUUUUGAAACCAUAACACAGGUUCACUUUUAUACUGCGCGGUAGGAAAAUACAAGAAACAAGACCUUUGGUAGAAGGAACAACAAUAAAGAUAAAAUGAGCAUCACAGACAGGUGAAGAAAAUCCCACUUCCAUGGUUGUUACAGAAGCCCCAUUGCCAACAGCUGGGAGGUCUCCAAUUGUAUCUCUAACUGUUAUUGCACGAAAAGGAGCACCAUUUGCUGUGCUUCGAACAGCAGCAUAAUGGGAAUUUCUAGCUAACUUGACCUUUAGCUCAGGGCCAGUGAACACAUGCAUUGGCGCGGGCCAUUCUGGAAGGGUUUCCUCAGGUGAUGCUUCCUAUAUGAAUGCACGUUUAUGUUGGGAAAAUAUGCUCUUUAAAAGCAUAUGUAUUUAUUUAAUUGUAAUAAACAAUUUUUCUGAUUAAUAAAAUAAAUGAGGUAUUUUAUUCAAAUAUCUUAAUUACAUUAAUAUUUGUAUUAAAGUGCAUUUAAUCAUAUUAUAUGUAUUUAUGUGAUCACCAUGUGGAUUCAUAGAAGACAUAAAUACAAGUUAUCUUAUGAUUAAAUAAAUUUAGUUCGUAGUUGAUAAAUAAAGUUGGGCACUUUAUUUAGGUAUAGACUGUAAUAAAUUCAUUAAAUGAUUUGUCUUAAUCAUGUAUGAAUUUAUUGAUGUAGUACGACUACAUUGAACAGGAUCACAUAUGAGAUUUAAUUAACUUUGUAAUAACUGUCAGACUUAUUAAAUCUCAUAGGCGUUGAUUUUACUGUAAUCUUAAUCUUGAGUUAAUUAUGAUUUCAUGAUUGUGAUUGUUAUUUCAUUUGAGUUACCAAUGGGCACAACACAUCCUUGUGGUCAAGAUUACCCGGUAUCUUGGUGGGAGCAAUUAUGAGUAUUGGAGUUAUGGAUUAACAAUAUAGAAUUUGUACAACACAUCUCUUGAUAGGUUUUCGGUACUUGAUCAUAGAAUUCUCUGGCCAGAGUGUGUCAACAUAUUUAGUAUGUUGAAAAUGAUCAUUAGAGAAAACCAGUAAGGAUCAAGGAAUAAGAUGUUAUUAAAUUGAUUGGACAGUUGAGAUAUCAAUUUAAUUAACGAUGUGGUACAAAGGAUUGUGCAGUAAAGAAAUCAAUGUGGCUUAGGACGAAUUAUUAUUUGAACAUACAAUUAUGGAAGUCAGUUCCAAUCUUUUAGUGGAGUAGAUUUGGAAUUAAAUAAUUUGGCUAGUUUAAUUACAGGCCUAAUUAUUGUAGCCACUAUUGUAUGUUCCCAAAUGAUCCCCGGGUUAGCUCAUUUAAUUGAUUGCACCACUACUGGACUAAUAAGCAAGAUAACUAGCUAUUUGGGUCAAAAGCCUAAAUAUAUCAUUUAGUGGGAGGCUCCAUUUAAUAAGCUUAUGUAUAAGGGGCCUCAUGUUAUUUUACAUGGUGGGUCCCCUACAAAAUAAAAAGGAACGUGAGUUUUAUUUUGGGCAUUAUUUGGAGCCUAGGAUUUUCACUAAAGGGAGAUAUAUAAGGCUUAUUUUCUCUAAAAAAAAAAAAAAGACAAGCCACUUUAUACAAAUCAGAGAAUAAGAUUUUUCUCUCUAUUGUUGAGAGAAAAAUUUUCUCGUGCUAGUUGCUUUGGUAGUGAUAAAGGCGCCCACACGUCAAGUGCAGAUCGAACCUGAGUCAUAACCUGGAAGAUCAUUGGUGACAGUUCGUGAUCUAACAAGCGUGGUGGUGACGGAUCGUGAUCUAACAGGAGUGGUGGUGGCAGAUCGUGAUCUAGGAGCCUAAAUCACUUCAGUGGAAAAGCCAACUCGGAUUUUCAAGGUACGAUUUCUAGAAUACGAAUUCUUAUAUUUUAUAUGAGAGCGAUCUUCAAAAGGUUUUAUAAAAAUUAAAAAACCUAAUUUUUCCCCACAGUUUACGAGACUGAGACAUGCCAUAUGCCCUUGCUUGCAGGACACCAAAUCUCACCUACAACAACAAAUUAGAUGAAUAAUUUAUAUAAGCUACAUGAUACUUUCACAAUUUUCCGAUUAAAUUGACUAAUUAAAUGGAGAAACAAAUUUAGGGAAUUUUGAUAGGCACCCCUCUAUCAAGUUAUGAGUAAAUCAAAAAUGGUAUCUACCUGAUAACCCAUCUGAAGGAGAGAAGCCAGAGUUAAGCGAAAUGUUUGCCCUUUGUUAAAUGAUGUAAAGUUCCUUACAUUCUCCAGAAGGAAAAAUCUGGGGCGGAAAUAAUCAGCAAAAGACAACGAUGCUAAGAUCAUUUCACAUUGAACUUUGCUCCAAGAGCCUUGAUUAAACCUAUUCAUUCCAGAAAAUCCCUGGAAAUAACAAAGAACCAAUAGCUAAACUUUAUAGGUCUAUUGUACACAAUUACUGUUAGAAUUGCUUACAAAAUAAAUCCUAGAAGUAGGCUGGAGGAUAGAUCGAUGUACCUGACAAGGAGGCCCUCCACUGAUGAAAUCCACUUGUCUUGGCUGAGGCAAAUUCUUAAUUGUCUCUGUUUGUGGGAUAUGCUUCGACGAAGACCAACAGUGAUGAGCAGACAUCUGGUAGCAGGGUUCCUCGAAUAGGUAUAUCUUCUAAGAGUCUAGUAGCCGGGGGGGCAGGAGCAGGAAUAUCCUACUCGUCCGCGAGUACGUCAUCUACGAGGCCAAUCUCCUGCUGGAAGCAUAAAGCCAUUCCUAUUAAGGGUUGAGUCGAGGAGUCCCAGUUAACGACAGUUGGCGAGACAUGCUCGCCAGUCCAAGAAUCAAGGCACGAAGGCCACGCAACCACCCACGACUACAGAAAUGAGGCAUCCACUUUCGAGAGGUAGGAGGAUAACGAGCGCGAAUGGAGGGAAGGCCUGAGUUCAGGAGGGGCCUAUAAAAAGGUAGCCAACGAAGGUAAAAGGGUUAGAAUUUUUUAGAUUAGAACUGAGAAAAAAAGAGAGAGCUCUACAGAAUUGAUACGCCAUAAGAUUUGUGGCUAGCAUUUCCAGGAACACAAAAACCUUCAUUUCUGACUUGAGCGUCGGAGGGUUUACACCGGGAAAACAACCGGCGUGCUCUGACCUGAUUCUGUGUACGCAGGGACUUCUGGAGAAGAAGCCUUACGAGGAGAUAUCCUUAUCGUAAUAGAGUUGAUCGAGCAGAGAUCCUGGUCGUGGUAGGAAGGGUAACCAGAAUCUCGCAUCAACAUUUUGGCACCGUCCGUGGGGAUCAGAUCAAAAAGCUUCUGUUGACAGCAAGAAGAGGAGCAAAGCAAGUGGAAAAACAAUGGAGGCGGGAGGAAGUAGUGCACAAGGGGGUGAUACGAGGCUUAACGAUUCCGUGACGCUGAGGGAGAUAACCAGUGAAGCACGGGAAAAAGUCAUGUUUGACCGGAUGGAACGAAUGGAAAAACAGAUGGAAACCCUAACAACCAUCCUGCAUGAGCUGCGGAGUGAAUGAAUGGGAACCCAGGAGGAAAGGUGAGAGGUGGUGGAGUGGCACCAGGUCACGAUAGUACGAGGAGAAGUCAAACCACCAGGAGAUUUGGAGGUGAGAGAGGUAACUUAUCUCUGCGGGGAGAAAUUCAUAGAGAGGAAGAGCAAUCCCCAGCAAGACAGAUUUUUGAUGAGGACGACGGGGUGGCGAAUGCCGAGGAAACAGAGCUCAGGCAACACUUACAUGAUGUAGAACAAGAGCGGGAUCAAGUUGCAACACGUGACCCUGGUCGCGCAGUGCAGCUGGAGGAGGAAGUGCGCAGACUAGUGCAGGUAAUUGAUGACAUGCAAGGAAGGAGCAGAGCUCCUGGUUGGAGGAUAAUGCUGGACGGAGAAUCACCGCUCGUGGCAGAAAUCAUGAGGGUAGUCAUUCCAAGAGAUUUUCGCCUCUCAGACCUUAGAUAUUCGGGACGAACUGAUCCGUUGGUGCACAUAGAGCGCUUCAACGAUAUAACCGGGGUGUAAGGAUUAUGUCAAGCCUAAAGGUGCAUGGUGUUCCCACUAUCCCUAGAGGGACACGCACGGGAGUGGUACAGAAAACUUCCUCGGGGGAGCAUUAAAACUUUCGAGCAGAUGUGCAAGGAAUUUGUAGAGCAGUUUCGUGGGGCAAUGGCACCAGAAGAUGACAUGAUGGAGUUGAAAAGCAUGAAGCAGGGGGAGCAAGAAACCCUUCAGAAAUUCAUCAAGAGGUUCCAUCGUGCUGUCCUCGAUUUGGGAGCCUUUAACCAUCCUCAGGCAAUAAGGGGAUUGAAAGAAUGGGUGAAAAUAGAAAGGCUGUGGUACAACUUGAGAAGCCCUGUUAUUCAGACGUAUGCAGCCACAUACGAGCAAGCUAAGAGGGUCAUAGAGAUUGAGGAAGAAAAGGCAGCACAAAUUAAGACAGACUAGCUAGAAGGGCUGGGAAAGAAAGAUAAGAGAGCAUUACCAGGGAAUGGGCCGAUCAGGAGGAGGGACCACCAGGCCUCAGGUAGUGGUGCAGGAGGUUGGGUAACCACUUACCAGCCUCAUCAAAGGCUAUCACAGUGUCAGUAUAGCAGGGUGCAACCUCCUCGCUCACCAGCUAGGGAGCCUUGGAGAAGGCAUGACUCGGCAUAUGGUGGUCUUCAUCCACACUCCGACGGUAGUAGAGGGAGUAGACCAGAAGCGCUGCCACUGCCUCCAACUCAGAACGGUGCUAAUAGAGAAAAGGCAGUGCACAUGAUCGACCAAAACCAGGACUAUGGGCAGUAUACUUCCUUGAAGUUGCUCCUGGACGAGGUGUACGAGGCCAUAAAGGACUGGGGACUACUGUACCUUCCUACCCUAAUAACAAAGCUACCCAGCAGGAAAGAUAGGGGACGCUAUUGUAAGUUCCAUGGCACUCAUGGCCAUACUACUACAGAAUGCAGAGAUUUUAAGACCCAGGUUGAAGAUUUGGUGAGAAAUCGGUACCUGGACGAGUUUAUAGAUGGGACUUUCCCAAUGGUGGCCUCGACAUGUGAAGGGGAGCAGAGUGACAGAAACUUGAGGCGCGAGAAGCCUACAGUAAGGGUGAUAGCUGGGGGCCCAACAUUGGCCGAAGAUUCCAACAGAUCGAGGAAGAAUUAUGCUAGAUACGCCAUGACUAGUAAAGAGGUAUUCCUUAACACCCCAGCAGCCAAACGAGUAAGAGUCAGGUAAGUGUCAAUCAUGUAGAUAGAUGAGGAUGAAGAAGGGAUUCUAUACCCCCACGAGGAUGCCUUAGUUAUCAAGGCCACUGUUGCUAGCAAGAAAUUUAACCGGAUACUGGUUGACACAUGGAGCUCAGUUGAUGUGUUGUUUAAGUCAAUUGUGGAGGAGAUGGGAAUAACAGACUUGAAGUUGGCGUACACCAAUACCUCCUUGAAGGGGUUUGGAGGAGGAAAGCUGGUCCCUCUGGGCGUGGUCGAGCUACUUAUCACGAUUGGGAGCUCCCCAACAAAAAGGACUAUGAUAUUGGACUUUGUGGUGGUGGAUGAAGAAGGUCAUUACAAGAUAAUCCUAGGUCGACCAUUUCUGAGGAUGAGCAAAGUGGUACCGUCCAACCAUUAUCUAGCUCUCAAGUACUAGGUGAAUGGGGUAGUUACAGUGGUACGAAGAGACUAGAGAAUCGCACGAAGCUGUUACUCCUUGGCAGUAAGGGAAGCAAUGCAGAUUACAUCCUUUGAUACUUGAGUAGAGACCAAAAUUGGCAGACAGGAGCCCGUAGAGGAACUAGAGACAGUAAGCUUGUAGCAGGAUGACCCUGGAAAAACAGUCCGAAUCGGGUCGAGACUUAAAGAUGAGCAGAAGCAGGAGCCGGUCCAUUACUUACGAGCACAUGCAAAUGUGUUUGCUUGGACACACGAAGACAUGCUGGGAAUCGACCCUGAGGUCGCAUGCCAUAGGUUGGCAAUAAAAAAGGGUGCUCGGGCAAUAAGGCAGAAAAGAAGAUGCUUCAACCAGGAGAGAUAUGAGGCUAUAAACGGUGAAGUGGAGAAACUCUUGAAGGCAGGGUUUAUUCGGGAAGUCAACUAUCCGGAGUGGAUAUCGAAUGUGGUAUUAGUAAAAAAGGCCAAUGGCAAGUGGAGGAUGUGUGUGGAUUUCACGGAUCUCAAUAAGGCAUGCCCGAAAGACAGCUUUCCCUUACCAAAGAUCGACCAGCUUGUAGACUCAACAGCUGGACAUGGCCUGCUCAGCUUCAUGGACGCGUUUUCGGGAUACAACCAAAUCCCCAUGUUCGAGCAGGAUGAGGAGAGCACGGCAUUUAUUACUAACCAGGGUCUGUUCUGUUACAGGGUAAUGCCGUUUGGUCUUAAAAAUGUGGGGGCCACAUACCAGAGACUGGUGAACAAAGUCUUUAAGCCGUUGAUUGGGAGAACAAUGGAGAUGUACGUGGAAGACAUGAUAACUAAGUCGAAAAUCCCGAAGGAACAUGUCGAGCACCUUGAGGAGACAUUCGCGCUUUUGAGGAAGUACAAGAUGAAGCUCAACCCGGAAAAGUGUGCUUUUGGGGUCGAGUUAGGGAAAUUCCUCGGAUUCAUGGUGAGUCAUAGGGGGAUCGAGGGAAAUCCCGAGAAGAUCUAGGCGAUCGUUCAGAUGAGGUCUCCUCGUAACCUGAAGGAGAUGCAGAGCCUUACGGGGAGGCUGGCAACAUUGAGCCGAUUCAUAUCCAAAGCUACAGAUAAGUGUCAGACAUUCUUUCAAGUGAUAAGGAGAGGGAAGAAAACAGAAUGGACCCCAGAAUACGAAGAGGCCUUUCAGAGCUUGAAGCAAUACUUGCAGCAAGCACCCCUACUGUCCACACCAAGGGAUGGGGACAAGUUAUCAUUGUAUUUGGCGGUAUCAGAUCGUGCCACAAGUUAUGUUCUGGUGAGAGAGGAAGAAGGGGUUCAGUAUCCGAUAUACUACACCAGCAAGGCCCUGCUCGACGCUGAGACCCGACACCCACCGUUGGAGAAAUGGGCACUCGCUCUUGUGGUCGCUGCUCGAAAGCUGAGACCGUACUUUCAAGCAUUCCCCGUCUCGAUAAUAACAAACCAGCCGUUGAGUUAAACCCUACACAAGCCGGAUGCCUCUGGUCGGCUCGUGAAGUGGGCUAUAGAGCUGAGCUAGUUCGACAUUGAUUACAAACCCCGAGCAGCGAUAAGGCGCAAGCAAUGGCCGAUUUCGUAGUAGAGUUUGCAGAGCCUGAAAUAUGUUUGGACCAGCUGGAUAUUGCUACAAACAGCAGCGAAGCCUGAGUAUGGCAGAUGUCUGUAGAUGGGUCAUCAGGGGAGCAGGGAUUAGGAGCAGGAAUUGUCUUGGAAGGCCCAGAGGGGGAGGAGAUCUCUUAUGCUGUAAAGUUAGAAUUCACAGCCACAAAUAACCAGGUAGAGUACAAAGCCUUGAUAGCAGGUUUGGAAUUGGCUAAGGUUGUGAAAGCAGAUAGAGUGAAGAUCAUAACUGAUUCCCAGCUAGUUGCGAAUCAUGUCAGUGAAAGAUUUUAACCGAGAGAGGAGAAGAUGGAGUAGUACCUGAAGAUAGUCAGGCAGAUGAUGGGGAAAUUCGAAGCGGUAGAGGUGAUACAAAUCCCCAGGGAGCAGAAUAGUCGAGCAGAUAUUUUGGCCAGGAUGGCAGCAGUAGCGGAUCCAAAAAUACCGAAGUCGAUCCCUCUGGAGGUGAAGUCCAGCCCGAGCAUCGAGCAGAAUCUGAAGGUGCUGAGGAUAGAACAAAAAUACUCGUGGAUGGAUCCGAUAAUUUCAUACCUUAGAGACGGGGUAUUACCACCAGACAAGCUGCGAGCUCAGAAGAUUAGAGCCUAGGCCUCAAGAUAAACGAUGAUUGAUGGGGUGCUAUAUCGGCGAGGGUAUACGCUACCGUUCCUUCGGUGUUUGGAUGAGGACGACGCGGACUACAUACUGAGAGAAAUACAUGAAGGAAUUUGUGGAAACCAUUCUGGUGGAAGGUCCCUAGCCCACAAGGUUCUAAGGCAGAGAUAUUUCUGGCCGACAAUGCACUAGGAUGCGCAUGAGAAGACCAGGAAUUGUGUAAGCUGCCAGAGUUUUGCAAGUUUCUCCAAUCAACCACCAGAGAAGCUCACCUCAAUGGACUCCCCUUGGCCAUUUGCUCAAUGGGGAAUUGAUCUGAUCGGCCCGUUGCCAAAGGGACGAGGAGCAGUAACACAUGCAAUAGUUGCAAUAGACUACUUCACAAAGUGGAUAGAGGUAGAAGCCCUCAGCAGGAUCACAAAGAAGAAGACAACAGACUUCGUAUGGAGAAACCUGGUCUGUCGUUACGGGUCCCUUAUGCCUUGAUAACGGAUGAUGGCAGACAGUUUGAUAACCAUAACUUCAAGGAUUUCUACCAGAACCUCGGGAUAGAGUUGAAAUAUUGCUCGCCUGCUCACCCUUAGUCUAAUGGACAAGUAGAAGCAGCCAACAAGACGAUCAAGAGGCUUUUGAAAACCAGGCUUGGAGCAAAAAAGGGUGCAUGGGUUGAAGAGCUAUCAGGUGUUUUAUGGGCAUACAGGACAACCCACAAAACAGCAAUAGGAGAAACACCAUUCGCCUUGGCCUUCGGACAUGAGGCGGUCGUACAAGCCGAGAUAGGAACGACCACGCACCGGACAGAUCAUUUCGAUGAGCAGGAGAACAACGAGCAGAUGUGCCUGAAUCUGGAUUUGCUAACUGAGAAGAAGGACCAGACAUCGAAGCGAUCAGCCAUUUACCAGCAGAGGGUAGCUCGGUAUUAUAACCAGAUGGUGAAUGUACGACAGUUCAAAGUCGGAGAUUGGGUGCUGAGGAGAGUGAAUUAGAACACCAAAGACCCGACUCAAGGAGUGCUUGGACCGAAUUGGGAGGGGCCAUAUAGGGUCAAGCAGAUAGUGGGACCCGGAGCUUACAAGCUGAUUCGCACGGACGGCCACGAGGUGAAGUGCCCGUGGAACGCGGCACACCUUAGGAAAUAUUUCCAGUAAGACUUGUUCAUGUUUUAAAGUUAUUUCUGUUCGUGCUCGUUAUCAUUUAUUUUAUGUUAAAGCAAUCUCAUGUAAAUCGAAUUCAACAAUAAAUGAAUCGAUGAGGAAUUUCAGUCAAUUGUACCGCUAGAAAUAUUUCUAAGGCAUGCAAAGGCUCACCAGGUCUCAAACCCUGUUUAUGGCGAGACCAGAAGCCAAACGUGCCAAGAUCUGCUCGACCACGCGAAGGCAAGCAGAAUCCCAAGCAUUGAAGAAUUGUCUAAGGCAUGCAAAGGCUCACCAAGUCUCAAAACCUAUUUAUGGCGAGACCAGAAGCCAAGCGUGCCAGGAUCUGCUCGACCACGCGAAGGCGAGCAGACUCCCAAAUAUCGAAAAAUUUCUAAGGCAUGCAAAGGCUCACCAAGUCUCAAAGCCUGUUUAUGGCGAGACCAGAAGCCAAGCGUGCCAGGAUCUGCUCGACCACGCGAAGGCGAGCAGACUCCCAAAUAUCGAAAAAUUUCUAAGGCAUGCGAAGGCUUACUAGGUCUCAAAACCUGUUUAUGGCGAGACCAAAAGCCAAGCGUGCCAGGAUCUGCUCGACCACGCGAAGGCGAACAGAAUCCCAAGCAUUGAAGAAUUGUCCAAGGCAUGCAAAGGCUCACCAAGUCUCAAAGCCUGUUUAUGGCAAGACCAGAAGCCACGCGUGCUAGGAUCUGCUCAAUCACGCGAAGGCGAGCAGACUCCCAAAUAUCGAAAAAUUUCUAAGGCAUGCAAAGGCUCACUAAGUCUCAAAGCCUGUUUAUAGCGAGACCAGAAGCCAAGCGUGCCAAGAUCUGCUCGACCAUGCGAAGGCGAGCAGACUCCCAAAUAUCAAAAAAUUUCUAAGGCAUGCAAAGGCUCACCAAGUCUCAAAGUCUGACUAUGGCAAGACCAGAAGCCAAGCGUACCAGGAUCUGCCCGACCAAGCGAAGCCGAGCGGAAUCCCAAGGCAUGCAAAAAAUUAAGUCCGAAAGCCAGUCAUGUAGCAAGAACAUAUGAAAAGCUAGAACCUGCUCGACCCAGCGAAGGCGAGCAGACUCUCAAAUGGAAAAAUAACUCGUAAAUACAACACGAGAAAGCAAUCAAAAACAUUUUUAUUAAUUUGUCAAUAACUAGCAAAGUUGAUAAUAUUCACACACAUUGUUCAUUACAACACAAGAAACAUGUUUAAGAGGACAGCGGGUCAGUAAGUCGAGCACCAUCAGUUGGCUGGACCACCUCAGGUGCAGGGGGUAUCACCAGUUGCGUCCGGGGGGUGCUUGCCUCACCAACAUCAGCAGGGAUUGCACGAGGAGGAGAGUUUUCCUCCUCAACCAGAAUUGGCUCCACCUCUUCGACAUCCUCUUUUGCUGCCUCCUCGUCCAUGUGUUGAGCAACACCAGCUGCAAGGUCAUCCAUCUUCAAAUCAGGGUGCUGCUUCCCAAGGAUGGCCAUGAUGCAACGAUAGGAAUGUCAGAGUCCCUGGUCGUAUUGGUUGUCAGCCUCCUUCUCCAAGUUCUCGACCUGAACCCGGUGGGAAUCGCGGAAAGAUUCGCGCUGAGCCUCGUACAUAAUCUUCUGCCUUUGCAGAUCCUCCUUGACCUUAGUCAGCUCGUUCUCGAGAGUAAUGGUCUUUGCUUGAGCAAGAGAUUCUUGUUCUAUCAGCUUCAGAUUCUCGAGAUUCAGGUCUCCUGCUUUCUUCUCGGCAUCGUCAGCUCGGGUCAUUGCUGACUGAAUGUCCUCCUUCAUCUUCCGGUCAUAACGGCCGACCUUGGCCUUAUAGUAAGUGGUCAUGCAGCUGAGAUGGAAAGCGCUAUACUGUAUGGCCCCCACCAGCUCACCUAGGGUGCAGCCAUCAAAGUCCUCCAAGUCCUUCUUGCUCACGAGUUUAGAUAGCUCGUUGAGAUAAGGGGCCAAGUGCUCUGCUCGGUUGUUAGAUAAACGAGAUUUAGGCCCGACCGGAGGAGAAGAGGAAGCAGGAUCAGCGGCUGCUCCACUAGUUUCUUUGACUUUGGAAUGAAGAGGAGGUAGAGUCUUCAAGGGAGGAACCUGCUGCACAAUGUUCACCCGCUUCGCAGUGGGAGCGUCCUUGUUCUGGUCCCUCUUCGCAGUUUGAGGUCGAGGACGUUUCCGAGUCAGAGCUCCAAUCACAGCAUCCUCCAUCUUAUGGCCGGGGGGCACCAAACAAGACUCGAGUAGGUUAUAAGCAGUUAUUAGCUCUCGACUCAAGCAGAAAUUGGCCAGUACAGCCUCGACCUGUUUGAGCUGGUUAGGUUUGAGUAGGAAGUGAACACCCCAAGAACCUGCAAUACAAACAGACAUUUGGUUAGAGACAAACCAGUAAAGCGAGAACAAUUAUGGAUACAAGACAUCUAAAGUGAGCAGGCAACCUGGGACCACGAAAUGGGGUGGGACGCGAUAAUCCUUCCUGUCAAUCUGUGCAACUUGACUCCAGGGACCGCCAGUAAAAAAGAACUUUUUCUUCCAAUUCCCAACACCACCAGUAGGGAGGUCGGUUAUGGGUUUCCUGGUCUUAGUACUUGAUUGGAAGUAAUACCAGCCAGCAUCUUUGGGGCUACUUUUCAGCUGGUACAGAUGCUUCACCUCAUCAAUUGUGGGCUCACUUUGGCAACAUCUGUCCCACAAUAUGAAUAGACCAGAGAGUACUCUCCACCCGCUGGGGUUCAGCUGACCAGGAGCUAGAUUUAGCCCUUUAAGAAUCUGGGCAAAGUAGGGUUGCAAGGGACACCUCAGUCCAUACUUAAAACUCUCCAAAAAUAAGGUAACAUAUCCCCUAGGAGGCCGGCUAGGGGUAUCCUUCUUUCUUGGGAUCUUAAGAGGUAUUUCACCACGAAUACUAUACCUAAGCCGGAGGUCAGUGAGCGCGUCAAAUGUGGUCAUGCACGUAAUAUAAUCAAUAGCGUAAUCCCGCGAUAGGGCUCUACCCCCUACUGUACUCCGCCCUUCUGGUCGCGAUAUUCCCGAUGAGGAUACCUCACCAGAGUCACCCCCUCGAUCCUCAUUCAGGGUGUUUUCUGAGCCAAAAGAUCCCUCCUCACUACUAUUUCCACUCAAGGAGGCUGUUUGGGGGGACAUCCUCCUAGAACUAGUCCCAACACUAGACCUAAUGGGCUUCAAAGGGAUCCCGGGGUCAAAAGUAAGAUCGGUGAGCAGACUAGGCAGGAAGUCCAACUCAUCGUCAUCAACCUCAAUGACUUUCUCUUUACCUUUCGACAUUCCCUAAAUUAUAACCAGAGCACCACCACCAACCACUACCCAAGCAAAGCAAAGAGAAAAGAAAUUAUCUACAACUAUCCAAGACCGAGAAAAUAAGAGAAAUACCUGAAGAAAGGGCUCGGUCAGAAAGAGACAGGGAUGGAAGCCUUAAUGCCGAAGUUCAUUCGCCGGAGAGACAAUAAGGGAGAAGAUGACGAGUUCUCGUUUAGGGGUUUUGGGUUUUCCUACUGAGGAACAAAUUCUUGGGAUGCCAGCAAUUAACGGCACAUAUCCCAAGAGUCUUACAACCGUAGGUUUGAAAUUCAAAUGGAGGGGUAGAUUUCUGCCACAUCACCUCAUCCGCAAUUAAAUGCAACACGAUUCUUGGCAGCCUUUUCCAAUCCCGCGCGAGCCAGAACUGUCGAGUUUCUACUGUCGGCUCACUAUGUUACCCAACACCAGAAACUGGGGGACCAGUGUUUGUGGGAUAUGCUUCGACGAAGACCAGCAGUGAUGGUCAGACAUCUGGUAGCAGGGUUCCUCGAACAGGUAUAUCUUGUAAGAGUCUGGUAGCCGGGGGGGCAGGAGCAGGAAUAUCCUGCUCGUCCGCGAGUACGUCAUCCACGAGGCCAAUCUCCUGCUGGAAGCAUAAAGCCAUUCCUGCUAAGGGUUGAGUCGAAAAGACCCGGUCAACGACAGUUGGCGAGACGUGCUCGCCAGUCCGAGAAUCAAGGCACGAAGGCCACGCAACCACCCACGACUACAGAAAUGGGGCAUCCACUUUCAAGAGGUGGGAGAAUAACGAGCGCGAAUGGAGGGAAGGCCUGAGUUCAGGAGGGGCCUAUAAAAAGGUAGCCAACGAAGGUAAAAGGGUUAGAAUUUUUUAGAUUAGAACUGAGAAAAGAAGAGAGAGCUCUACAGAAUUGAUACACCAUAAGAUUUGUGGCUAGCAUUCCCAGGAACACAAAAACCUUCAUUUCUAACUUGAGCGUCGGAGGGUUUAUGCCGGGCAAACAACCGUCGUGCUCUGACCUGUUUCUAUGUACGUAGGGACUUCUGGAGAAGAAGCCUUACGAGGAGAGAUCCUGAUGGUAAUAGAGUUGAUCGAGCAGAGAUCCUGGUCAUGGUAGGAAGGGUAACCAGAACCUCGCAUCAAUAGUCUCUUCAUCAAGUUUUGCUGCUAGAUCAGCAGCUUCAGGAGUUGAAUUACAGUCAUCAGUAUCCCCACAUGCUGACAUGAUAGCCCUGCAUUUGAUUCAUUGAUUUAUUGAAGAUAUAAGAGUUGAUUUCAAAGCAAUUAUCACCUAAUCGAACACAAAGCCAUGAGUUAUUAUACUUAAAUGAAAGCAAACAUCAACCUCAGGAUCACAUUGCAGUUGUUAAUAAACACCAAAGCGUCUGGAUGAUUAACAUUGAAUGCUUCUCCUACUGAUUGCUCAUUCUCUAUAGCCCAGUUGGUUAUCGACAGUUCGACACACCUUUAGUUGCAUAUUUGUCAGUCACAAUAGACCUAAAUCGGUUUACUUGCUCACGGAACUUUGAAAGUUACCUGCUUGCUGUAGGCCAUCAAAUAAGCCACCACAACCUGCGAAAUUAUCUAAUGUGGCUAAGCAAUUCUUAGAUAUUCAGAUUUUACUCCAUUCAAUAAAAAAUGAUAUCUACUAGUUUAAAAAAAAACUAGUAGUAUAAGACAAAGGAAAAAAAGAACACGUAAAAUGUUUAGAUUUUACUCCAUUCAAUAAAAAAAGAAAUAUUUAGAUCGGUUCCUAGAGCAUACUUACUUCUCUAAUGUCAGAGUAGUAUGCUUUCUCCUCUGAUAUGAUGAUGAGCUACGUAGACAUAAUCAUGAACAUGGCAGUAGAUGGUACUCCGUUCCUUUGAGAGUGAACCAUUUCUGUUCAAAUUUACCUUGAAAACGUCCUUCUUCCUCUCGGUUUCCUUUAUUUUACAAGAAUGGCAAGCUCCUGUUCCAAGUCCCAUGGUAUCUUUUUGAAGCUUAAAGAAAGCACCUCUCUCAGGCCAGUACAAGCUUUUACAAUAAUAUUCCAUGGGGAAUUGAUCAAUUCUUCUAUCCUCUGCUCUUUCACGAACAAUUUUGUCCUUGCAAGCAUUAGUAUUCCGAUGUUGAUGCCCCCAAAGAAUCAAUAAGAUUUCAACUGCCACAACUUCUUUAACAUCUUCCAGUUCAAUUUCCAAGCAAUCAUUUGUCAAAAAAACCUCAUUAGAAUCUGCAGUUUUAUUACAAGAAACGUUUCAGAGCCUCUUAGCAUGUGUCUGCCAUGAACCAUCUUUCUUGAAUCUGACUUUUCAAACAUAAACUCUACAAAAUAUAUUAAAGGCAAAUGAUCUGAAUCUGCAGUUUCAACCAGCACGCAACCACCAACAUUAACCACAUUGCCACAAACAAUGGCACGUUUGUAAAGAGACUCACUCAAACAUGUUUUUCUUAUUAACUCCCCAUCCCAUUUCGUAGCCUUCGAAGAGCAAGGUGGCUUAACACUUUUCGCAGAUAAACAAAAUUUCUCCAUAUUCUUAUCAACUUGCAUCUGUUCCACUUUAAUGUCUUCGGGAUAUUCCUCACUAUUUUCUCCAUGUUCUGCAUCGAGUUCUUCAUCCACUUUCACUUCACGGCUAUAUGCCUCUUUGAAUCUUCAGGCAAAUAAUUUGAGUAAAACUCUUCCCAAAUCCUCUUUAUCAAUCUCGUGGUUGUUGCUUGCAUUACCUUUUUUUUUAUACUCUCAUAUUUGAAUUUAUUUCCUUCUUCAGCACCACAUUUUUUUUCACUAAAGACCUGGUGUGGCGUCUUUCCUCCAUUUUUUCAAAAAGACCAGACACAAAUGCACACUUGCUGAUCCUUUUACUAGGAAGCUCUGCAAAUUGUUGGAGUAUGAUAUGUCCAUGAACCACCACAUACCUUUCAACUUCUGUGGGAUUGGAAGAAAUAUAAGCAGGAUUAGUCUUACUGAACUUGGACACUUUUUUUAUUACAUCUACAAAACGAGAGUCGAGAUGCUCAACUCUGAUUGUCCAACAUUGUAAUGAGGGCAAUAGCAAGCCUCGCAGUUUUUAGAACUGGUUUGUACCACGUUGCAUACUGCUUUAAUGGCCUUCCAAGCCUAUACCUAAAAACAAAAUCGCAAAUUUGAUAAGAACUAACACUGACAGAAGAUAAAGAGGACAAAAAGGCAAGCUUAAGCACUAGUACCACCACCAAACCUCUUGGUAGUAUAUGGAUAUUGAUGUAUACCAGGAAAUAUCUGUCCGAACUGAUAUGGAAAUGAACGAGUAUCCAAAUUCGAUCAUCCAUUCCUGUAUUGCACUCAAAUAUACUGGUAGUCCCCCAACAUUCUCUGCCACAGAUGAAGACUGAUCAAAAUUAGCAUCAACACAUAAUCCACUUGAAUCACCAGUUGUCAUAAUCCCAGAUCCAAAGAUGGUAAUAUCAUUAUCAUCACAUGGUUUCAUUGGGAGGAGCUCUAAAGAAAUCAACCGCGAAUCUAAGUUGUGAAGUGACCAAUUGUAAAGCAUUCUUCGAGGAAGCUCGUCAGGAUUAAUUGCAUCAAAGAUUAAAUACUCAUCAUUUUCCUCCUCAUUGGGCUUGUAAUAUGCAGGCAGAGGAUAGUCAUCAACAAUUUCAUCCUCAUUGAUUUUACAGCAGAACUUGCUUGAUGAAGCAACUCUCCUCUGAGUUUUAUUAUGUUUCGUUGAUUGCCAAUUCUCCUCUUCCUACAACAGCCUUGCCAAUUUCAUAUCUUUAUCUUCUUCACCUCCAGAAGCAGAUGAACUAGACUGAUUAUUUUGCACUUCUUCACCAAUUCUCAUACCUGUAUUUAUGAGACUGCUGGAUGCACUGGUUUCCAGAGUAAUUAAACUCCCUUGCUUCUUAGUUUCAUCCAGCAAUGCAAGGAGCACAGGCAAGUUCUCAAAGAUCUGAUCAUUUUUCUUGGAUGUCUCAUCUAAACCGAUGAGUUGAUUAUAUAUGAAUUCACCCUGUGAGAUUAUAAAUUCCUUCAUAGGUGUCCUGUGAGGAAAAUUCUUGCUAUCACUCAUGGAACGAACAACUCCUGCAAGCAAUUCAUCGACAGUCUGAUCAGGGUUCCCUCCACAAGUCCUUGAAAGUUUUAUAGACCUCCACAGAGGCACAAGCCUUUUCAUAGAAAAGGUUAUAUAGCAUUUUAUAACUAUUAGCAGGUUUAACACAAUUAUAGUCUACAGUGACAGUUGAAAUCCAAAAUACCGGUGAGCCUUCCUCAUAUCCAGAUAUUGCCCAAGAUUCAACUCGUCCGAAAUCUUCACAUCUAACACCUCUUUUAUAACAUCCCAAAACUAACACGUGUGGAGCACGUGAAGAAGGAGGUUACUUACAAAUCAUAAUCCUUAUUCAUAAAUUCCAAAUUGAAAUACCUCAAAUUCUUAUUCAAUUAUAUCCACAAAUUCAAACGUCCAACACUAAAUAAGCUCUCACAAAACAUAACAAUAACAAAAGUCUCAAACUCUAAAUUACAAGUUCAUAACGAAAAUAAACUAAAUAGAAACAUGAGUCUAUUCCUUUUCUUAUUCAAAUGGCAAACGGAAAUGAAAAUUACUAACUCCAAAGCUAAGCGCACCUCUCAAAAGAAACUUAAUAUGCAAAAAGUAAUGACGAGGGGUGAGCCGUCAACUCGGUAAGUAAAACCAUUCCUAACACACUAUGCCUAUCGAUACUAAAAAUAUUGCAAGCCUUCUUUUGUUUAAAACAUAUAUCAUAAUCCAUAAAUUUCAUAAAACGAUAUAUCACGAUAACAUAACAUAAAUUCUUAAUAAUUUAGAAAAUUCAAAAGCAUAUUUACUUACGAAGCAAAUCAUAUAAUAUUAGGGAUGUCAAUGGGGCGGGUUCGGGUGGGGAUCAUGAUCCCCGAACCCGAACCCGAACCCGAUUUAGAAGCAAUCCCCCGAACCCGCCCCAUACCCGAAAAAUUCUAAUGGGGAAUUGUUUGGGUAUAUCCCCGAAAAUCCCCGAAUUGAGCGGGGAUUAAAACGGGGACCCGAUCCCCAUUUUUUAAAUAAAUAUUUCAGUUUUCUUUUUUUUAAAUAAUAAUAAUUCUAACAACCUCCAUAUUUAGAAAUAAAAUUACAAAUAAUCAAAUUUCAUAUUAGAAAUAAAAUUACAAGUGAUCAAAUUUUAACAACCUCCACAUAAAUAAAAACAUAAUAAUUUUAAGCCUUCAACAUAAUUACAAAUGAUUAAAUUUUAUACGACAAAUCAAAAUAAUUUUAAGUUUUCAACAUAAACUUGUAGCCAUCACCAUUGAUGCACAUUCUAAGAUUCUUCAUAAACCUAUCACAACAUAAACAAAAAAAAUUAAUAAAAACAUGUUUUAACAAUUCAACUUAAUAAAUACUUGACAAGAUAAUAUAAACUAAAACUAUAUACCUCUAUAGCCUCUACAUCUGUUUCAAUCUCUAGCUCCUCAUCAAGAAUCUUGGCAUAUGCUGGAGAGGUCGAUGCCACAACUACUUAAAAAAUAUAAAUAUAAAUAUCAAGUUAAUUAUUAGUUAAUUUAAAUAAAUAAAAAUACAAAAAUUAAAAUGCAAACUAUAUACCUCCACAAAGAGCACGUAUCCAACUUUGACUACACAUCAAAGCCUCUAAUGUGCUUGGAUGAAGUCUAUUGCGAUAUGGGCUUACAAAUCGACCGCCAGUGCUGAAAGCAGAUUCAGAAGCAACAGUGGUAACUGGAAUAGCCAAAAUAUCUCUUGCAAUUUGAGACAAUAUAGGAUAGUUACCACCAUUCACCUUCCACCAAGCUAAAACAUCAAAUUCUUCCUCAACAUUAAAUGGUACUAACUUUUCACCCAAAUAAGUGUCUAGUUCAUCCUUUACUUCCUCAUUACCAACAUUAACAAAACUAGUAAACCCCAAAAUCCAUUCAGUUGAACCCUUAUAGGAACCCGAACUCGGCAUAGAAUGCGAAGUACUUAAAGAACUAGAACUAUAUCCAGGAGAACUAGCAGCUGAUGCAUAUCUAGCUUUGUACUCUUUCACUAUACUUUGACAAUCACCAUACACUAUCUGGACACGAGAAGUAGCAUCAUCCCCAUAAAUCAUGGAAAAGUAAUAUUCAACCAACCUAAUUUUGAACCUAGGAUCAAAGAUACAUGCAAUAGACAGUAUUCCACUCAUGUCAUGCCAAUACUUAUCAAACUUUUCAAUCAUUUUCUGUGCCAUGAUUCUAAAUUCAUCAUACCUAGGAGUUGAAACCCAUUCAUUCAGGCAAAAUCUAAUAUCACACACAUGGCGCAGAAAUAGAUUAGAUGUUGGAUAACUAGUACCAGAAAAUAAUGUUGUACAAUCAUAAAAACAUUUCAAAUUAUUUUCUAAGGCACUAGCCAAUUACCAAUCAUGCUCACUAGGCAAACACUUAUAUUGUCCAUCAAUAUUCUUCAAUCGACAAAAAACGUUCUUAUAAUGUAAUGCAGAGCAUAUCAUGAGAUAAGUAGAAUUCCACCUAGUUGGAAAAUCUUGUACUAGUUUUCUACCAGAAGUAAUGCCUAAUUUACCUGCAUUCUCAUCAAAUGUCGAUUUCCUUUUAGUUGAUCCUGACCAAAAAAUAACACUCUCACGAAUGUUUUCAAUUAGAUCACCAAUCACACUUAAACCAUCCUUUACAAUCAAAUUUAGAAUGUGGGCACAACAACGAACAUGAAGCUUUUGUCCACCCAAAAUGAGAUCAUUUUUAUCUAGUGCCAACAACAUAAAAUCAAUCAUACGAUCAUUAGUAGCAGCAUUGUCAACAGUUAUGGAGGAUAACUUACGCUCAAUGUUGAACUCCAAUAACGAACCCAUCAGCUUAUCACAAAGCACUUGGCCUGUGUGAGAACCAGGCACUUCCAAAAAACUAAAAAAAAAAAAGAUCAUUAACAAUUAAAAAAAAAUCAGAUUGAUCACUAAUAAUUAAAAAAAAUCAGAUUGAUCAUUAACAAUUAAAAAAAAAUCAGAUUGGUCACUAAUAAUUAAAAAAAUCAUAACAGUAAGAAUUUUACCUCAAAAGUAUGCUCCGUAAUGCCCAAGCAUCGUCAAUAAAGUGUGCAGUGAUUGCCAUAUAUGCUUUUGUUUGAUUUUCUGCAGUCCACAUAUCAGUUGUAAUGGCAAUUCUACCUUGAGUUUGCUCCAAUACACUAAGAUAUUUGGCCCUUUCACACUCAUACAUGUCUAAAAUCUCCUUCUUGAUAGUAUUUCGAGACACCUGCUUCCACAAUUGAUUCAAAGAAGACAUAACAUCCCUCAGACCCUGAUGCUCUACAAUGCUCAGAGGGUACUCAUGCAUGACAAUAGCACGUGCCAUUUUUCUCCUCGUAACAUCAGGAUCAAAAUGAGUUUCUACUGCAGUCUUCCCUUUUUCACCAGCAGCUUUCUUUGCCAGUGGGAAUUCUGUGGCCUCUAUUUCCUUUUUCACUUGACAUGUCUUCAAAUGAUCGUGCAAGUGCUUUGUUCCAUCACUACUCCUUGCUACCAAUGCAUUUUUACAAUAAUUGCAGACAGCCUUAUCAAUCCUGUUAAUUUUUUUCUUCUCGAAAUGCUCCCACACAAUUGACCUCAACCUUCCUUUUCGUCGCAACCCACCAUGAGUAACACUAGCGGCUGAUUCACCUUGAGUAUGAUUGCCUUCAUCAUCCAUUAAGUGUGGUGUGGGCACAGAACUUGACAUAUUAAAUGUUGAACCUACAAUCAAGCCAAUAAGCAAAAUUUUAAAAUGAAAAUAAAACUAGCAUUUUACUAGAAGCAAACAAUUAAGAACUAUGCAGAUACAAAACAUUAAAUCUGAUUUUACCAUGUACUGGAUUUAAAACCAACUAGUACUAAGAUAUUUAAAGAUAAAAUACAAAUACUCGCUUAUUCUUUGGCUGCAACGAACAUUUACUAAUUAAGCAUCUAUAAUUUCUAGUUAUAUUUAAUGGUUAAUGAUGCUUAAUUGACUUACAGAAUGCCAAAGGUAAUAUAAAAACUAAAUUCUGGAAGUUAUUAAAUUUCUCCUAAAAAAUAUGACCUGAACUAAAAGCAAGAGCAAAAUCUGUACCCCCAGAUGUGAAAACCAAUAAUAUUUCAGAAAGCAGGAGGGCUUUGGUUCUGAACAAACCCAAAUCAGCAGAAGGGGCAGUGGGAUCCCAUAAAGAAUGUCAAAGGAAAUAUUAUUACCCAAGUUUGUCAAUACCUCAAUUUAUUAUUCUGCUCAACAAAAGUAAAUUAAUUAAUUAAAAUAAUAAAUAAAAAAUGUCCUCUUGGAUGUUUCAGCAAACUAAAAUAGAACUAGUUAAAUUCCUUCAGCUUCGAAACUAGCUAGCUAAAGGAAAAUGUUAAGAAUAAUGCAAAAACAAGAAUAAAAGAAAAGAAAAGCAAGCGGCCAAAAGAAAAGAAAAGCAAGCGGCCAAUAUGCAAGCAAGCAAUUAAACCCUGGAAAUUUAACACAGAGCUAAAAGAAAAUCAUGACUACCCAAGCUAUAAACCAAUUAAACCCUUAAAGUUUCAGUUGAUAGCAUAGGCAAACUAAUAAAGCUAAUAUUACUGACAAACAAAUUGCAGCCAGUAUCCAAAGGAAGUGCUAAAAAUGACAAUCAAAUGCAACUCAAUGACUCAUUACUGACAAACAAGCACGCAUAGAGACACCCAAAUCAAUGAAACCAGAUGCAAUUCGAAAUAAAUAAACAAAGAAAGAAAAGUAGAAAAGGCAAAAACCUUGUUGCAAGAGAACCAACAGGUGCAGCUGAGUGUUGGUCGGUGACGACGAACGGUGGCGGCUGACCAGCUGUUAGCGAUGACGGUAGCUCACGAACUGUUAGGGUUUCUUUUGGGGGAAAAAAUUUGAUUCGAUGGCAUUACAAUUUCUAAUUUCAAAGUUUAAAAUAUUAGAUUUUUUUUUGUUUUUAUUUUCGGGUUGAGUUAGGGGAUCCAGAAAAUCUCUAAACCCAAACCCAAAACGUUUUGGGGUUUUAGACCCAUACCCAAAUAGACCCGAAUUUACUUUUAGACUUUUUUGGGGCCCCAUACCCGCCCCAAAUUAAUCGGGGCCCCGCGGGUUUGGAGCCCCGUGGGUAUUGUUGCCAACUCUAUAUAAUACAUAUACAGAAAACAAAAGAUUAUCUCAUGUCACAUAGUGUCACCUAUAGUCCCGGUGACCCGACCAGAAACAGAAUCAGAAUAUCGUGUGCACACUCAGAACAGAAACCUAGUACUAGUCUAGACAGAUAUAUCGUAUAUUACGAUCAGAAUCAGAAUAAAAAUAACUAUGGACAAUUAGUCAAAACAUUAGGAAUCCCAUACAAUCAUCAAUAAUUGAAAUCAAACAUGGCUACAAAACAUUCGUAUCAUAUUCAUAAAAGUCCAUAUCAAUAAUUUAGGCUUGCAUAAUAUUUUAAAGAUAAAAUCAUAAAAGGUUUUCAUGUCAUAAAAUCAUUUACAUAUUAAAAAGAAUAUAGGUUUGAAAACAUUUACAUAAAACUAAUUUUGUUAUCAAAAUCAAUUAAUCCUUUAAGUAGUAUAAAAAUAUUUAUACUUAUAAUAAUAAUAUCAAAAUACUUAUACAUAUCUAGUAUACUAGGAAUGAAGUUACUUACGAAAGCAAAUCAUAUAUCACAUUCACAGAAAAACAAAAGGUUAGUUCAUGUCACAUAGUGUCACCUAUAGUCCCGGUGACCCGGCCAGAAACAGAAUCAGAAUCAGAAUAUCAUGUGCACACUCGGAACAGAAAUCUAAUACUGGUCUAGAACAUACAUAUAUCGUAUUAUACGAUCAGAAUCAGAAUCAGAAUAACUACAGACAAUGAGCCAAAACAUAAUGACUUAUACGUGGCACUUUGCACUAUUUGUGGCACUUUGCGACGCUUUGGCCUUCAAGAAGUGGUCCCCAUAUAGUCCCAAGAGGUGACCCCCGUACAAUCACAAAGAAUUGAAAACAUUCAUAAGCACAAAAACAUUCGCAUCAGUUUCAUAAAUGUCCAUAACAACAAUUUAGGCUUGCAAAAUAUUUUAUAAAUAAAAUCAUAAAAGUAGGCAUGUAACAAAAUAACUUACAUAUUUAAAAAGCAUUUAUAAAACACUUUGUUCAAAAGAAUUUAGGUUUGAAAACAUUUUCAUAAAACUAAUUUUGUUAUGAAAAUCCAUUAAUUUUCUAAGUAGUAUAAAAACAUUUAUACUUAUAAUAAUAAUAUAUUUAUACAUAUUCAGUAUACUAGGAAUGAAGUUACUUACCUCGACUAAAAAAUUUGAAUUAACACGCCUCUAAACCUCUAAGUGCCGCAAUCACCUCCAACACCAAUUGCUUUGAUUCUCUUCUAAAUAAAGGCUUGAAUCCUAGGGUUUGGGUAAGAGCGUAAUGAGCAGCAGGGAAGAAAAGAAACGUCGUGGAUUUAGGGUUAUGGAAGGGGGAAAAUAUGAAUUUAUAGGGAGUCUUAAGUAACCCUAUUGAAUUUGAAAAAAUAAUCCUUUUCCAAAAUUAUCUCAUAAUUAACCCUUAUUUAUAAUUUAAUAUCCCUUUUUAAUAAGGGUUAUAGGCCACGCAUGAUUCCUAAUGAAAGCCCAAUUUCCAUAAUUUAAUGUUAUGGAAAUUUGUGGCGUUACAUCUUUCUUUAUGUCUUCCACAACAUUUUUCAAGAGACAAAAUAAGACCUGAAACGAACAAGUUUCCAACUUCCAACAUUUCAACAGACUUUAGGUUUCCACAAGAAUCAUGAAAAGCAAAUUCUGUUAGCCUUCGAUUUGGUCUACAGUCAUCCUUUCCAGCGGUCAAGCUUAUUGCAACCUCUUCAUUUUCUGCAACAACUUCCCUUGUGCUUUCCACAAAAGAUGCACUUCGAGAGAAGGAAAGAGAUUUUUCCAUGAUAUCCAUACAUGCAGCAGCUCUCUUUGGCAUUUUCCAAGAAUUGGAUGCUUUUUCACUAUUUUUAUGUCUACUUCUCUUAUUGUUUUCCGGUCGUCUCAGACUUCUCGUCUAUAGUAUUAACUUCAAUGACAGAAGGUUGCUUUCCCUUGGCUAUUUUUUCCAUAUCUAGAAAUAAGUAUAAAAUUAAAAACAGGAAUAAAAGCAGAUACUAUUAAACUCCAUGGUUACUUUGGUAUAUGAGGAAAUAAAAUGACCAAAAAGGUACUCUAAUAGAAUAAAUAAGGAAACGAUCGAGUUUGGGAGCGAAAAUUAAUCAUCUAUUUUCUUUUGAUGUGGAUAAAUAAAUGGAAAAGGUAAGCUCACUCAAGUCAAUAAAGACUAAAGCAUGGGGUAACAACAUUCAGAAUCUACAGUAAGGUAUUGACAUUCAGAAUCUAUUGUCACAAAUAAAAAGACAUUUAAACAAUCAGAAAAGUGAGCAACUUAAGGACGACACUUGUUACAUAUGCCAAAUGUGGUAGUCUGGGCAUUCAAAAGUAAUGAAGCAAUCUUUAAAUUAAUGCAUGUCCAGAACACUAUGGAGCAAGCUGCUGAGGAUUCAUCGUGCUUUAUUACAGAAUGUCCUUAAUGGUGUUAUUACUUUCUUCACAUGAACUUUUGAUAACUAUUUUGCCCGAAUUAACACAACUAAAUGUAAAUGACCUACCAAAACUAUUUUACAAGUUGAAGCAAAUUCCAAAAUUAGAUAUAUACAUGGCUAUAUUCUUCGUAUACCACUGACCAAAAAUAUUAGAAAACCAUAGAUGCUAUCAGUAAUUAGAACCCAAAAAAAAAAAAAGAUUCUAGAAAACGGAACAGCUAACUAAUAAGUAUUACAGACCUGUAUUUAUGAAAUUGCUUGAUACAGUUGUUUCCGGAGCCAGUAAACUCCCUUGCUUCUUAGUUUCAUCCAGCAGUGCACGGAGCACAGGCAAGUUCUCAAAUAUCUAAUCAUUUUUCUUGGAUGUUUCAUCUAAACCAAUGAGCUGAUUAUAUAUGAACUCACCCUGUGAGAUUAUAAAUUCCCUCAUAGAUGUCCUGUGAGGAAAAUUCUUGCCAUCACUCAUGGAACGAACAACUCCUGCAAGAAGUUCAUUCAAAGUCAGAUCAGGGUUCCCUCCACAGGUUCUUGACAAUUUCCUAUAGACCUCGACAGAGGCAUGAGCUUUUUCAAUGAAAAGGUAAUAUAGCAUUUUAUAAUUAUUCGCAGGUUUAAUACAAUCAUAAUCUGCUGUGAGUGUUGAGAUCCAAAAUACUGGUAAGCCUUCCUCAUAUCCAGAUAUUGCCCAAGAUUCAAAUCGACCAAAAUCUUUACAUCUAACGCCUUUUUCCUUCUGCCUUCCACCACAUUUUUCAAGAGGCAAUAUAAGACCUGAAACAAACAAGUAACCAACUUCCAACAUUUCAACAGACUUUAGGUUUCCACAAGCAUCAUGAAAGGCAAAGUCUGUUAGCCUUCGAUUCGGUCGAAUGUCAUCCUUCCCAGCAGUCAAGUAUAUAGCAGCCUUCUCAUCUUUCACAACAUCCUCCCAUCUGUUUUCAACAAGAGAUGCCUUUCUGGACAAGCGAAGAGAUUUCUCUUUAAAAUCUGAACAUGCAGCAGCUCUCUUUGGCACCAACUCAGCUUGUUAUUCUCAUGGGGCUGUUUAUAUCUUUGGGGUAUGCAUGAUUUCCAAAACUAUCAACUAUGAAUUAUAUGUUUCAUAAUUUAGUUGUUGCUUUCUCGAUGUUGUAUGCUUAUUUAUUUAUUUAUUGUUCAUUUAUUAGUCUAUGGUUAUUUUUGGUUAGUUCUAGUAUUUUGAUAAAUUCGCCUGGUCGGUUUAUUUCACUAACCAUUAAUGAGAAAAUCCGCCAAGUGAUCCUCAAACUCUUCUACACAAUUAUAAUAAUUUCAGUUUUAUAUAUACAAAAAUGAACAGCUCUCAAACAUUGUUUGAUAAUGACAAAUUUGAUGCUUGUACUUUAAUGUUAUUAUCAUUAAAGUAAUGAGGAACGACAUAUAUUCUCUCUAAACAGUAAAUUCGGAAAUUCAGAACAGAUUCGGUAACAUGUGGCAUUCUACAUUCUUGCAAUGCCAUUUCUUGUUAUGGCAGCAGCAUUUUUUAUCAUCGUUUCUAGAGAGAAUGAAGAGAGAGAGAAAGUAUCAUCUUAUUCCUUGUUAGUUUCUCCGUGUGAGCUCUGUAAAAUUACUUUGAUUCAUAAAUAAAACUCAUUUUGGUCGAUUCUCCCUUGGAUGUAAGUUGUGCCUCAUUGCACAGCUGAACCACGUAAACAGUGCUGGUUUCUGUGUGUGAUUGUUUGUUAAUCUUGCUUGUUUCUUUUUUCCUAAUGGCUGAAAUCUUGCUUUAAGUUCUCAAGUCAUCUAUUGAGUUCAUCGAGGUCAUUCAAUUAUUCAUAUGUAGCUAGUUUGAUCUUGAACAGGGUCUUGGGCAGUGUUUUGAUGGCUUGAUUAGCGGCUAUCUUGACAGUACAAUUGGUAUCAGAACUAGUUCUCCAGAUCGAGAUCCAAGUAUGGCUACAUCAAAGAUUGAUCUCAAGAAGUUCAAUGGAAAGAAUGACUUUAAUAUACAAAACUUGUAUCUAAUGGUUUACAUUUGGAGAUGAUGUAAUAAAGUGCUGUUGAUAAAUUCACCUGGUCGGUUUACUACUUCACUAACCAUUAAUGAGCAAAUCCUCCCAGUGACCCUCAAACUCUUCUACGCAAUUAUAAUAAUUUCAGUUUUAUAUAUACAAAAAUAAACAGCUCUCAAAUAUAUUAUUUGAUAAUGACAAAAACAACAAUUCACUCCAAUAAAUCUCGUAAUAAAUACAUGGUCUAUAUUGCAAGUCUUUUUAGGACUCAUUCAAAAAGAAAACUUAGGGAAUGGCAUUGCAAGAAUAUGGAAUCAGAAUAACAUUGAUACAAAGAGAAAAAAAGGGGAUGGUCGGAUUGAUUUGUUUGCAAAAUUAUUGGUGCAGGGGUCUACUUGUUUUUGUUUCACUUUAUUAAUUAAUUAGCAAAGCAAACAUGUAAUCAUUUGAAAAAGGAUCACUGGUACCCGCUUACGAAAGAUGAAUUUGUAAGACAUUAAUUUAGAUGAAAAUGUGGCGUUAUUAAGUUAUGAGUUCAUUAACUUGAGGUAUUAAUAUUUACUAAUGAUGGUGAUUAAUUUAUUUAACUUGUCAUGGUCUUCAAUUAAGAAUGAAGUGCAAUCAAUUUAUGGAAAAAAUAAUUAUUUUUUUACUUUUUAAGAUUUUAAUUCUUAGGAUUUCAUUUCGCUCUUUUUCGAUUAUUGACGUUGUUGAAGAGGGCAAUAAAAGCCUGCUGAAUUUCAUCAAAGGCUUGCAUCUCAUCUCACAAAUUGGCAAUAUUGAUUGGCAUCUUUAUAAGCGCAGGCAUGAUGAAUUUAUCACUUCCUUCAUAUUGAUGGCCAUAAAUUUCAACUGUACUUUAUUUUUGAGGCACAAUCUAACUUAACAAAAAUAGUAUUCAAAUUGUCACAAUUUUUUUUAAAAAAAUGAAAAUUCAUAUACAGUAGUUAUUUUUUCUUUUUCUUUACUCCAACUUUUAUUAAAAAGUUAAAUACAAAUCCCGAAGAAUCCGCUAUAUAAUCUGAUAGAAUCUAGAAAACGGAGGUACAUGCAUGGCAAUAUCAUUACUUUGUACGACUGGAUUAUUUUUACAAAUUUUUUUCCAAAGAAACUAAUAAAAUUUAUUAUUUAAUAAAAAGUCAAAUACAAAUCCCGAAGAAUCCGCUGUAUAAUCUGACAGAAUUUGGAAAACGAAUGCACAUGCAUGGCAAUAUCAUUACUUUGUACGACUGGAUUAUUUUUACAAAAUUUUAUCCAAUCCCUUGUUUGAUGCCUGUAAAUCAAUAUUUAAAUGUACAGUUAUUUUGUUAUGUUAUUUGAUUUUAACUAUUAAUGUGAAUAUUGGAAUAUAUAUUUAUAUUGAACUAAUAAAAUAAUUGUAUAAAAACAUUUGAAUAAACUUAAUUAUGAAUUAUGAAUUCAUGAUGUAAGGUAGCGUUUGUUUUUUAAUCUAAAAUCUUAGUGAGUCUGAAUUUAGCUAAAAUCUGAAUAUAUUUGAAUUGCAUAUGUCUAAAUGGCAUGUUUGUUUUCUCUUUUUUGAUGUCUGAAUGUAAGUGACAUCUUUUUUUUAUAAAUAAAAAAAGUCUGAAAUAUGAUUAUUUAACAUUUAUGUUCUUGUAAGAAUUAUUUAUACUUAUUAUAAAUUUUAAGAUUUAAAUAUGUGCACGUUACAAUUAAAAUCAAAGAUAUGUAGAAUUGAGUAAUUGAUCUUUAAAUAAAAAUAUUAUUAUAUUACUCCAAAUACAAAAUUGAAUCAAACUUAUUAUACUUUAAAAUUAAAAUUUAAUUUUAUAAUUUACAUCAUCUUUUUUACCAUUUAAGAUUGUAAAAGCCCAUUCGCCCAAACCUAGUCUUAAUUAGCUGUACAUAAGUGUAAAGGCCCAUAUGUUCUUAAGAAGUGUUGAGAGUUUUCUUAGACCCAUAAGUGAAUGGAUAUGUGUAAUGCCCUCAACUUCAAGCCAGAGUUAUAACUAAUGGCAGAUCUGUGUAAUCCUUUUAAAACCGUUCUCUAAUUAUAUUAAAAGACAAAAUAAAUCUAAUUAAAUUCUUAUAUUUCUCUCUCUAUAAGUUUCUUUUUUUAAUGAGAAAAAGACAUCUACACCCCUAAGGUUUGGAAAAAUGAUCAUCAACACCCCUAUGUUUUCAAAGGUGGACACCAAGACUCCCUUUGAUGAUUAUACUCUUUAUCUCUAUUAUUUCAAAAGAAUUAACUCUAAUAUUUUACAAUAAAUAGAAAUAUGAUAUUAAAAUAAAUGUAAUAAUACGUACAUUUUAAAAUAAUUUCAAUUUUUAAACAAUAUUUUAAUAUUUUAUAAUUUAUUAGAUAUAUUUUACUAUAUUAAAGUAAAUUUUAUGAUAAAUAGAAUCAUAAUAUUAAAAUAAAUGUAUUAAAAAUUUAAAUUAUAUUGAAUAUUAUGUAAAAUAAUAAUUUUAACAAUAUUAGUAUGUGAGAAUGUUUUUAAUUGUAGAACGUAUUUAAUGCAAAUAUUUAUUUAAAAUCUCUACAAUAAAAAAGAUAUUAUUAAAAUAAAUAUGAUAAAUUACAUAUUGAAAUAUUAAAUAUUUUAAUAUUUCUAGUCUACUACAUAGAUUAUACUAUUUAUAUGGUAUUUGUAUUUGCUAAAAAUUUUAAAGUCAAAUUUUUAGAAUAAUAGAGAUAAGGGAUAUAAUGGCCAAAAGAAGGUCAUGGUGUCCCUCCUUGAAAACUUAAGGGUGUUGGUGACCAUUUCCCCAAAUCUUGGGGGUUUAGAUGUUCUUUUUCCUUUUCGAAAUCAUUAGCCCCACACAACUACACCAAACAACCAAAAUUUUGUGGGAUCUGUAGUUCAGGCAGAAGCGGCCGGCCGAAUGCUUCCAGCAACUCAGGCAGAUAGAACCUUGGUUGAUUUGUUUUUCUUCAUUUGAAAUUCUACCUAACGGCUAUCCUUUUAAUUGGUUUAAAUUCUUCUUUUUUCUUUGAGUUGUUGAUUUAUAGUGCCUUACAUGCAAAAUUCAAAAUUUCGGAUGAUGAUAAUCUUGUUUUAGAAGAGAUUUCUAGUUAUGCUAGCAGCAUUCUUGAUCGUGGCAUCACAAGCACAUGCUCUGNNNNNNNNNNNNNNNNNNNNNNNNNNNNNNNNNNNNNNNNNNNNNNNNNNNNNNNNNNNNNNNNNNNNNNNNNNNNNNNNNNNNNNNNNNNNNNNNNNNNGUUCAACAUGUAAUCAUUUAAAAAAGGAUCACUGGCCCUAGCUUACAAAAGAUGAAUUUGUAAGACAUAUUAGUUUUGAUGAAAAUGUAGUGUUAUUAAGUUAUGAAUUCAUUAACUUAGAGGUAUUAAUAUUUACUAAUGAUGGUGAUUAAUUUAUUUAACUUGGUGAUUAAUUAUUUAACUUGUCAUAGUCUUCAAUUAACAAUGAAGUGAAAUCAAUUUAUGGAAAAAAAUAAUAAGUUUUUUACUUUUUAAGAUUUUAAUUCUUAGGAUUUCAUUUUGCUCUUUUUCGAUUAUUGACGUUGUCGAAGAGGGUAAUAAAAGCUUGUGGAAUUUCAUUAAAGGCUUGUAUCUCAUCUCACAAAUUGGCAAUAUCGAUUGGCUUCUUUAUAGGUGAAGCCAUCACGAAUUUAUCACUUCUUUCAUAUUGAUACCCAUAAAUUUCAACCUUAUUUUAUCUUUGAUGCACAAUCUAACUUAACAAAAAUAGUAUUCAAAUUGUCACAAAAUGUUUUUUUUUUUAAAAAAAUCAUAUACAAUAGUUAAUUUUUCUUCUUCAAGUUUUGUAUGAAACACUAAUCUUGCUCUGUACUUUGGAGUAUUUUAAUAAUUGAUGUUAAGAUUUGCUAAUGUAAAGAAAGAAAAAGAGAACCAAUUUGGAAAAGUGAAUACUUAUAGUGAAAGAGAACCAAUUUGGAAAAGUGAAUACUUAGUAGUGGGAGUUCUAUCCUUUGGGGUUUAAUUAAUGUUUGAUGUUGUUUCUGUUGGCCUCAGCUAGUUGUUAAGAUUUCAUACCUUUUGUUGGUUUUUCAUAACUGUGACCUAAAGCUUAAUGUAUACUUUGAUAAUUACAUAAUCGGUUUCUUGCUGAUACUUGGCUUUAAUUUAUAAACCUGAGGCUCUUUUGGGAGUUGGGAAGAUUUACGAAAGAGGAGUUUCUGAUUAUCUGGUUUGUUCUCUUUAUGCCUACAGAAGUUGAAUUCACUCUAUGCAUGAAUUUAUGAUUCUUUUAGAAAGAUUUUAUUCUUGAGAAAGAUUUGAUGAAAUUGAAGCAUUAUAGUAAAGCGUACCACUGGUAAGCUUGAUUCACUUUUUUUCAUUUACUACCAAGAGGUGCCAACAGUUCAUGAUGCACAAAAAGAGGUGGGGAAAAAAAGAAAUCUUCUUGCUAGAUACAUAAAUUUAAUAUUUGAAUCAUUUUCAACCAAAGAAAUGUGCUGAAGAGCACCAUUUUCGUUUAUAUCAAAGUUCAAUUGCAUCUUAUAUCAUCUGUUUCCAUCUCCUUUGUGGUAAAUAAAGUCCUUGGUGAUGACAAUAAGAAUCACAGAAGAAGUUAAUUUCUUAUCUGGAGAUUUUCAUCAUAGUAGUUCAUUGAAAGUGAAGGCAGCUGAGUACUCCUUUUUCUGAUGCAGUCUAUCCCUCUUUGGUGUGAUUAUUUGAAAUUUGCGCAAGAAUAUGAUCCAUCUAUACGAGAAUGUGCCUAAUAAAAUAUCACAAAGGUGCCUAAUACAGUGAAAUUAACAUAUUCAGCUCAUGAGAUUGCCAUUAUAUAUAUUGAAAAAGAAAUUAAUAUAAGAAACUGAAAUUAAUUGACACUGGUUCAUGAUGGAUUGUUAGUUGUUAAUUAUGAUGGGAAUAUAAUCUUGGUCUUUUAAUUAUCAUCUAGCUAAUGCAUGUGCACUUUCAUUUGUGUCUAUCACUGAAGAAUAAAGUUGCUUGAUUGAACAUCAUAUGACAGAAACUCAAAACUCAAUUUCAUUGCCCGAGCAUACCAUGCCAUAUGUGGCUCAAAAGUACAAUUAACAUUGAACGUUCAGCUAGCUAGCUCGUACUAAUUAAUUUAUAGGAUUGCUAGUUCUUUAUGAUUCGCUAAAAGAGAAAAUAUUUGACAAUCACGAAAACAAUAACAAUUCACUCCCAUAAACAACAUAAUAGAUACAUGGUCUAUAUUGCAAGUCUUUUUAUGAUUUUAAUUAAAAGAGAAAAUGCAACGGACAUAUUAUAUAUAAUUGAAUGUUCUCCUUGAUAAUUAGUCAAAAUAACGCCAAUAUGAAUAACUAAUACAAUCAUCAUAAUUAUCCGAUUUUCAUUUUAAUUAUGUCCAACCAUGCUAAUUUAAUAAAGAACACUGACUGAAUACAUGAGCAUUUAUAUGUUCAACAAAUUUGGCUGAGUAUGAAAAAUAUAAGAGCUACAUUUAUGCUUUGUGUUAUUAAGUAGGACAUGACCAUAUUAUGUUGCAUUUGUCAGAAAACUGAAAAUUAUCGAAAAGGAUCCUAAAAGAGAUGUGUUGAGUUGUGAGCUUAAAAAUGAGUUUUAGAAGUUCCUGACAUGUCGGUGUGUAUCCUUGAUUGUGCAUGCCCUGUCGGUUUCUGGAUGAAACAGAAGAAUAUGACAUAUGUGUAUUGUCUUUUACUUCCAGCAAGCACGUGAUUUAAGUGAAUCACAUGUUCUUCACGUGAUUUGACAUACUUUAUACGGAUUUAGCAGUUGUUUUGGUCACUUAUUGAAGCACGAGUUAAGCACGUGAUUCAAGGUUGUUAACUGACCGUUAUAAGGUGGAAAAUUCUGGGUUUCUUACAACAAACCCAGAGGGCAUCUGGUGAGUGGAAGCUGUUUCUAGAUUCUUCAUGAUCUGUAUAUAUAACACAAAACUACAUGCAUGUCAAUUGCUUUAUGUUAAUAUUGUUACUAAUGAGGCAGCUAGUAAUCCCUUUGGUGUAAAUAAUUAACUUUCAUAUGCACAAUAUUUAAAAUAAUCACCAAACAACAAUUCACAAGUUACAUUACACAUAAACAAAAUAAAACUAAUCUAGCAAAUUCAAUCAUAAUAAUUUGAUUUUCAUUUAUAUUAAUUAUUUCCAAUCAUGCUAUUUUUUUUUUAAAAAGAACACUCCAGUGUUUAUAUAUCCAACAGGUAAAAUUUCAAAAUAAUAUUUGCUAAAGUCUGAUGAAGAGAAUAUACACGCACACACAUAUAUAUAACCGUACAGCAGAAUGAUAAAUAAAAGAAAAUGAAGUUUCAACAGCUGAAUAAUGCAUUUUAUUGUUUAAUUAAAAAAUUCGAAAACCCAUUGGCCAUAUAUACAUGAUAAAGACUCACUGAAGCCGAGCCAUAUUAAUUUAAAUUAAUUUUCAAUUGAGAUUUAAAUUUUGAAAUUACAUACACAAACACGCCCAAUUUAAAAAAAAAAGUAGUAAUUAUAAAAUAUUUCAGUCAUUUAUUACAACAUAAGGUAUAUGGGUUAACAAGUCCCAAUAUUGUCCUCCAUCCUUUCUGCACUUCUCUGUUAUCAACGGACAACUCCAGAUCUGUAAUUGCAAAAGUGAGGAAGGCAGGCCCUUCUCCGGAAAGUAUUUGAGCUUGGGACAUCCCCAGAGAACCAAUUCAAUGAGGUUUUGAAGAUCAACAAUUGAAGAAGAUAGGCGUUCCAGAUUUGGAAAAUCUUCAAUCCACAGAGAUGUUAGAGAGGCAGGAAGAGGAAGCGCGGUCCCUAAUCUUUUGUCCUCUAGUGGAAAUGACACCAUGUCUUCAUCGCAUCCACUGAUUAAAAGAUAUCGCAGAGAGGAGAAUCUGUGAAAUCCCCGUCCCCGCUCAAUCAUCGACUUCCAAAUCUCCAUAUUACCCCAAAUAUUAAGUGACUGAAGGUUGGUGGGAAGUGUUGGAAAAAUAGCAUAACAUGCUAUUUUGAGAGCACAUUUUGAGUGGGUCCCACUUAACGAAAGUGGAAAAUAUUGUGAGGUUCGGAUUCUACUCCGUUAAUACUUCAAUAGUAUAAUUUUAUUUUCUCAAAAUGGUGCUUGGGUGAAUGAGAAAUUGUCUCUCAAAGUUCACCCUUGAAGUUGGAAAUUUAAAAGGAAAUGAGUCUUAUCCCACAUGGGAAAAAGAAGCCUAGGAAUUAGUGUUUAAAUAUAAACACUUAACCAUGCAUGAGUAAGAAUUAUGAGGAUAGAGGCUCUCUCCACACGCGCGUUCUUCAUUUAGUGUUUCCGAUUCCUAGUUUACACUAUUGUUUAAAUUAGCUAACAUAUAAUUUGUUAUCUCACUGUUUUAUUGUGUGUUUGUUUAACAGGAAGGCCAUCUUCUUCUUCAAGGCUUGGAAGCGCACCUCCUAUUGUUAAGUAUUGAAGAGAACUCAGUUUGUGCAAUCCCUUGGGUAAGGCCUCUAGUCUCUUACAAUUAGAUAUCUCCAGCCUCCUGAGUUUCGCACAAGGCAAUCCCCCUUCGGGAAAGGAUACCAGAUUUCCACAACUCUGUAUAGUAAUCCCUCGAAACUGCUGGAGAUUAUGUAAACCACUCGGUAAAAUUUUGAGAUUUUCACAAUAAGAAAUGUAGAUAUCUUCAAGAGAUGUGUUGUUGUCCAACCUUUCUGCUAUUGACUCCAGCUUUGAACAUCCACAAACACGAAGGGACUUAAGAGACGGAGGUAGAUUGCCAACUUCAAGGGACUCAAGCGUGGCAGGUAACUCGUUUUUUGAAAAUAUACAUGUCAGUGAUGGACAAUCCCUAAUUUCCAACUCCUCGAGAAGAGAUGAGGUGUACCUUCUGCCGCUGCUACACUGGAUGCCCUCUUCCACUGUCAAAGUCCUUAUAUUAUCGCAACGGCUGAUCUGCAACUUCUUAAGGCUCGAUGGUAGCUGGACCGCAGCAAUAUAUGUCAACGAACGACAAUGCUCAAUAUUCAAGAUCUCGAGAGACGAAUUGGUGUCGCACAUCCAUGCCUCUGGUAACGAUUUCAGCACAUCACAAUACCUAAUCUCAAUUUUCCUCAACUUGGAAGGCAGAGCAACCUCAGGAAAGGAAACAAGGGAACUGCAGUUGUAGAUUUCUAUCUCUCUCAAGGAACAGAGGCUGAGCGAUGAUUGUGGCAGCUUCACAAGGCCUUCGCAUUCGCUCAAUCUUAGAUAUUCGAGUCUGCAUGACAACUCGCAGAGUUGCUGUUGUUGGUCUUUCUCUUCCUCCGCGACCAAGGAUUGAAUUUUGGGACAGCUGUCAAUCGUCAGUCUUUUGAGAGAGCAAAUGUCUUGCAGUAAUUCGUUAUGACUCUUCCAUAUAUGUGUUUCAAUUUUAAUAUUAUUUAUCUCCAAUUCUUCCAGUUUUGGUAUUCGCGGCUUCAAUGGCCCUGCGAGAAACACUUGAUUGAUGUAUCUCUACAAACCANNNNNNNNNNNNNNNNNNNNNNNNNNNNNNNNNNNNNNNNNNNNNNNNNNNNNNNNNNNNNNNNNNNNNNNNNNNNNNNNNNNNNNNNNNNNNNNNNNNNNNNNNNNNNNNNNNNNNNNNNNNNNNNNNNNNNNNNNNNNNNNNNNNNNNNNNNNNNNNNNNNNNNNNNNNNNNNNNNNNNNNNNNNNNNNNNNNNNNNNNNNNNNNNNNNNNNNNNNNNNNNNNNNNNNNNNNNNNNNNNNNNNNNNNNNNNNNNNNNNNNNNNNNNNNNNNNNNNNNNNNNNNNNNNNNNNNNNNNNNNNNNNNNNNNNNNNNNNNNNNNNNNNNNNNNNNNNNNNNNNNNNNNNNNNNNNNNNNNNNNNNNNNNNNNNNNNNNNNNNNNNNNNNNNNNNNNNNNNNNNNNNNNNNNNNNNNNNNNNNNNNNNNNNNNNNNNNNNNNNNNNNNNNNNNNNNNNNNNNNNNNNNNNNNNNNNNNNNNNNNNNNNNNNNNNNNNNNNNNNNNNNNNNNNNNNNNNNNNNNNNNNNNNNNNNNNNNNNNNNNNNNNNNNNNNNNNNNNNNNNNNNNNNNNNNNNNNNNNNNNNNNNNNNNNNNNNNNNNNNNNNNNNNNNNNNNNNNNNNNNNNNNNNNNNNNNNNNNNNNNNNNNNNNNNNNNNNNNNNNNNNNNNNNNNNNNNNNNNNNNNNNNNNNNNNNNNNNNNNNNNNNNNNNNNNNNNNNNNNNNNNNNNNNNNNNNNNNNNNNNNNNNNNNNNNNNNNNNNNNNNNNNNNNNNNNNNNNNNNNNNNNNNNNNNNNNNNNNNNNNNNNNNNNNNNNNNNNNNNNNNNNNNNNNNNNNNNNNNNNNNNNNNNNNNNNNNNNNNNNNNNNNNNNNNNNNNNNNNNNNNNNNNNNNNNNNNNNNNNNNNNNNNNNNNNNNNNNNNNNNNNNNNNNNNNNNNNNNNNNNNNNNNNNNNNNNNNNNNNNNNNNNNNNNNNNNNNNNNNNNNNNNNNNNNNNNNNNNNNNNNNNNNNNNNNNNNNNNNNNNNNNNNNNNNNNNNNNNNNNNNNNNNNNNNNNNNNNNNNNNNNNNNNNNNNNNNNNNNNNNNNNNNNNNNNNNNNNNNNNNNNNNNNNNNNNNNNNNNNNNNNNNNNNNNNNNNNNNNNNNNNNNNNNNNNNNNNNNNNNNNNNNNNNNNNNNNNNNNNNNNNNNNNNNNCACCAAUUACCAAUUUGCUCUUUUUAACCAAACUCGUAAUUGAAAUUGACAAUUCUUUGCAUUCUUGGAUAACAAGCAUCUGCAAUGCAGGAAGGUGCUCUGGAAAUGUUCCUUGCAGUUUAGAACAUCUUAAAAUGUGAAGCUCUCUCAAUUUAGGAAACCGUUCAACUCCCUGACUGGAUCCAUGAGGAAUCCAGUCUUCCCACUCUUGCAGGUCUUCAAAACGAAGAGUCUCCAAGCAUGGAAAUGGAAUUGGAGAGUCAUCCCCAUAGAACUCUACACCCAAUCUCUUUACUCUACUCAUUCCACGCACUGUAAGAUGUUUUAGAGAGGGCAGUUGCCCAACAGACGGCAGGGCAGUACACAUGCUGCAAUCUUCAAAUUUAAGUGUUACUAAAUUUGAGAAUGAGGAAUCUCCUAACCAUGUUGGAAAUUUUGUACCUCCAUAGCCACAGACACAAAAUUGUUCCAGAUUUUUAUGGGGUUUAAGCAUGUCAAGCAUGCCCAUUUCAGUUUCUGCUUCCCUUGAGGAUGAACCAUCGGUGCUGCAAGUCCAAUUAAGCGAUAAUUCUUUAAGAUUCUUCUUUCCAUCCAACCGAGCCUCCUUUGCAUCACCAAUGUCUUUUACAUUCUCUAACUUUGAAAUUUUAAGUGUCCCCUGAAGAUGUAUCAAUGACUUUAGCUCUCGUAACCCAGAACCAUUGUCUUUUCCCACAGCAAAAUUACCCAACGUCUGAAGACGAGUCAGCUUACCAAUUCCUAGUGGCAUUUCCUCCAAGGAAUCUGUAUUUGAAUUAUUGAGAUGAUGCAAUUUGAUGAGGUUUCCCAUGGCUGCACACAACUUCUUCAGUCGCCGACAGUCUUUUAACAGAAGUAUGUGCAAAUUGUAAAGCUUGUUAACUGAUUCAGGCAAAGUUUUAAUCUCAGUUCCAGACAGGUUAAGGUACCUUAAAUACCUCAAAUCACCAAUUGAAUCCGGUAGCUCCGGGAUGCCGUAUCCACGCAAAGAGAAGACCCUCAAGCGUUGGAGUUUGAACAACCUAGGAAGAAUGCUACGAGCCAAGUAUCCAGGCCAGCUACUUAACAACGUUACUGGUAAAAGAGUUCGCAAGUGUUGGAUAUCGUGCAAGUCCUCAAACCUUUUAACACCAUCGUAAUCUCCACGAAUGUACGACAGAUGACGAAGAUUUCUUGAAAAACUUUGUUGCUUGUUAACCUCAGAGAUAUACUCCAUUCUGAAGUACAUUUCCCCAGCAGCCCAUUGAGCAAGGUCAUUGACGAGGUCGUGCAUCACAAAUCGUGAUAUACUGUUGCUCGAUUGCUGGAAAAAAGAUCUUCCACGUAGCUCUUGAAAGAACUUUCGACCGAGAUCUUCACCAGGAUUCCCACUCUCUCCGUGAUCCAAGAAACCCACAGCACUCCAUAAUAAAAUUAUCUCCCCCUCUUCAAAUUCAUAAUCCUUUGGAAACAAUGAGCAAUACGCAAAGCAUUGUUUCAAAGGUGCCGAAAGAUAAUAGUAGCUCACUCGAAGCGCUGGCAUAAUGUCACAUCUCUCUUCUUGCAAUUCCCAUAUCUUGGUACUGAGCACUCUCUCCCAAUCACAUCUGUCAUCUUUUCCUCGCAAAAGUCCUCCAAGUGUUUGCGCUGCCAGGGGCAAGCCAUCGCAUUUGGCCACUAUCUUCUUGCCAAUUUCCUCCAAUAACUUAUUUGACCCCAAAGAAUGUUGAGCAAAUACAGCUAGACAAUCAUCAAUUGACAACUUUUUUAAUUGAUAAGCUGAGGCAGUUCCCAUGAUGUCUCCAACCUCUUGAUUACGAGUUGUGACAAUAAUCUUACUUCCCUUCGCUCCAGCUUCAAACGGACGGCUGAGGCGAACCCAAUCAUUGUAAUUCUCAUUCCAAACGUCGUCUAAAACAAGCAAAAAUUUCUUUUGAGAUAACUUCUUCUUCAGCUCCUCUUGAAGCAAAUUUAAAUCACUGUCAUCAAUAGUCUGCUUGGUAACGGAUCUUAGAAUUGUUUUUGUUAGCCCCUUAACGUCGAAAUCCUCGGAGACACAAGUCCAUGCCUUGAGAUCAAAAUGAUCCUGCACUCGCUUAUCAUUGUAGACAAGCUGAGCAAGAGUAGUUUUGCCCAGCCCGCCCAUACCUAUAAUAGGAAUAACAGAGUAUCCACCAUCGUUGCUUACAUCAUCCCUCAACAGCAGUUCAACAACAUCCUUCUUUUCUGUUUCCCUGCCAUAUACUUUGGCUUCAAUCACUAAAGAGGUUGUCUCUAGCCUUUGACUUGCUUUUUUGGACCCUCCAGCUGAACUUUCUUUCAAAUCUAGCAAGUCUUUCUGUGUUACAAUAUCUUGAAAUCUGUUGUUGAUCUCUUUGAUUUUGGACAUCAAGGCAUAAUCGAACUGAAUCGAUUGUGGAGUAAAAGUGGUGCAGCAAGUAGGAAUGAGCUUCCGAAACUUACUUGUUCUUGUACGACAGCGACUGGGUUGAUCCUGAGCCGCAGCUGGAUCUCCAUUUCCAAGCAGCAACUUCCUCCGGAAAGCCUCAGUUUGAAAAUCAUCCAACAAGUCUUCAACAUCAUAAGCCAAGUUCUGAAGCUCGCCAAGCCACUUCUUCACAGACUGAUUAGUCGUCUUCUUCUCCUCGGCAUCAUCAAGCACCGCCUUGAUCAUCUCCAACAUAUUCGCCCACUUCUUCAGAUUGGCCCGAAUUUGCUGUUGGCGUGCAAACAACCGAAUGCCCUCUGAAGCUAACUUAUUGACCAGCAAAUCAACGGACGCCCUAAGGAUUGCCUCUCCGAUGAUUGACAUUUUUUUUUCUUUUUUGCCUUUUUCCUUUUUGUUUUGCAAAGAAAGAAACAGAAUUUUGAGUUUUGAAAGGCAAAAUGAGAAAAUUGAAUAGAAAGUGUGAACGGUCAAGCAAAAUGUGCGUACCAAGUCACCAGUCACCACCCAUUAAUAAUUUAGCAAUUCACCAAUCACCAGUCACCACUAGUUGAUAUUUGUAGGGCCAAGCAAUAUUACUCCAGUAAUGCUGAAUAAAGAGGAAGGUGGAAUGUCUCUGCUACGAACCUUCGCUUUACAAGUCUUCAAAGUCAUAACAAACCAAGUUAAAUCAAAACGUCUCUCCCUGGGUGUUCAAAGUCAUAUAACUGCUUUAUUUAUUGAUUUAAUUUUAAUGCUAAAACGAAGACUUAAAAGUACGCUACAAUGUUUUAUAAUGUUAUAUUAAUGUCGUGUUAAAAUAAAUUAUAACAAAGUUUUAGCCGACAAUAAUAAAUUCUAUUUAUUUAUUAAAUAUAUAUUUAAUAAAAUAAUAACACAAUUAAUAUGUUAUCAAUCAAAUAAAAACUCUAAUGUGAAAACAAAAUCGGCCCCCACCACCAUCAAUAAUUUAGCAAGCUUCACUUUAUUACAUUAAUGAAAACAAAAACAGCCGCUACCACCUUUAUGUGUUGCUUCCUACUUAGUACAUCUAUUGAUACGCACAUCUACCUAACAUUUAGAAAAUGGAAGUAGAAAUUGGAACUCACUUUAUGGCUCGUAUGCAAUACACGUAUCAACAUUUAAUUAGAGUUCACACACACACACACACGUGUGUGUGAGUCUAGUUUUAAUUGAGAGAUAAAUUAAACAUAAAUACUUAGAUGUUUCUAAAUGAUUGAAUAAUGAUAUUAUUGGUAUUUAUAAAUUUCUAAGAAGCGAUAAUUAUGUGGGGGACAUAUAUUUAUGGUUAUAGAAAAUGGCGGUAAAAAUGGUACAAAUCUAAUAUAAUAAAAAGGUAUAAACUGAAGUAAAUUAAUGUUUACUUUAAAGUACGUUAUAAAUAUCGCUUUCCUUAAUACGCUAUUUUCUCUCACCAAUUGAGUUAUGAAUAUGGAUUAAGCAAAUAUGCAUCUAGGAUACAAUAAAGCACUGAUUUGUUUGUUUACGUUGUACAUCAAUGAAAGCAAACAUAAAUAUUCUUGAAUGUUAUAAGCCUACCGAGAAUUAAUAUAUUAUUCUUACAAAAAAAAAAUAUGUUGGAUAUUCGAUGCAUAAAAAAUAAAUGUUAAUUGAUGAAAUUCUUUUGAAGAAAGAGGACUACAAAAAAAUGGUGUAGGAUCAUUUUAUUCAUGUCUAAUUGACAUUUAUUUUUAUGAAUGUGAGGGUAUUUUGGUAAUUUUAUGGACACAAGAGUCAUGUGUUGUGGAUAGAUGUUCGUUUUAAACUACAUUGCGUGCAGUUAGUCGUAUUUCACAUUUAUGAAAAGUAACUAUGUUGUUUCCUUGAUUAAGAGAAAUUGCGAGUGAGAACCAAACCGCGAAUAUGAACGAUAGUCGAGUUUAGGCAUUGUCACUAUGAGUGAAAUAUGCAAACUCAUUUUCAUAUUUUAUUAUGAUUUUAGAGUGUAGUAAACCAUAUUUGCAAAAUAAGAUUUUAAUGCUCUAAUUUAAUGAUUUCUAGAAUAAAUUUGAUUUACGUAUUGGUACAUUAUUAAAAUUUUAUCAAUAUUUGUUUUCCCUAUCGAUUUUGAGUAAAGUAUGCAGGUACACCAAUCGACCGACCGAUUGUAGUUAUUUUGAAUUUUUGGCCACGUGCUGGCGCUAGGAGAAAUAGAUGGUAUUAUGCAUGUUGAUCAUCUCAUUUUGGAAUGUAUAAUAUAUUGUAUUAUGAUGUGAUGAUUAUAGAUGUUUAAUAUAUGUUGAAAUCAGAUAUUAUAAUCUUUUGAUAUUGGAGAUGUUUGGGUGUUAUUUGGUAUUUUGGAUGAGAAGGUUGAUUGAUGGAACUGGUUAUAUAUUAAACUAUGUUAGGAGUGCUUGUAUAAAUUUACAAUUUUGGGAUUGUUAUAUUUAUAAGGGAAAUAACUGCCGAAUUUUUGGUAGAAUCAUUACUAAUUAAAUUAUUAUCAGUCAAGAUAGACAAUAUAAGAUAGACCCUCAUGGAGUUCGAGGCGAGUCGUCUCAAAUCAAGCCCUUUAUAAAGCUCACUCACCCCUUGUUAGCUCUCACUCGUUACAAGCAUCUAUCUAUCAAUAUAUCAAUCAAUGCUUACAUUUUCUUUCCUCUUAUACAUCAAAAUGAAGUUCACCUUGGCAACAUUGCUGUGGCAUUAUUAUUGUCAAUAGUAUAGAACGUUUACAAUUAUCAACUUCUGGUUGACCAAAAUUUUAGCGACGUUCCAUUCGGAGCCAACUGUGUUGCCUCAGUUAGCGCGAAGCUCUCUUUAAAACCCGAUGUUGAAAUUAAACCAAAAUGAAAUCCUCGGCGCAGCAAUAACUGUACUGAAGGAACGGGCUAUUCAAGCUAGGGAAGACUAUUCUAAUGCGCAUGAAAUUAGCAGAGACAGCGAUGAGCAGAGCGUGCUCAUGGCUUCCAUCUACAAAUGCACACUUGCUGAUCCUUUUAUUAGGAAGCUCUGCAAAUUGUUGGAGUAUGAUAUGUCCAUGAACCACCAAAUACCUUUCAACUUCUGUGGGAUUGGAAGAAAUAUAAGCAGGAUUAGUCUUACUGAACUCGACUCUGAUUGUUCAACAUUGUAAUGAGGGCAAUAGCAAGCCUCGCAGUUUUUAGAACUGGUUUGUACCAAGCUGUAUACUGCUUUGAUGGCCUUCCAAGCCUAUACCUGAAAACAAAAUCGCAAAUUUGAUAAGAACUAACACUGACAGAAGAUAAAGAGUACAAAAAGGCAAGCUUAAGCACUAGUACCACCACCAAACCUCUUGAUAGUAUAUGGAUGUAGAUGCAUACCAGGAAAUAUCUGUCCGAACUGAUAUGGAAACGAACGAGUAUCCAAAUUCGAUCAUCCAUUCCUGUAUUGCACUCAGAUAUACUGGUAUUCCCCCAACAUUCUCUGCCACAGAUGAAGACUGAUCAAAAUUAGCAUCAGCACAUAAUCCACUUGAAUCACCAGUUGUCAUAAUCCCGGACCCAAAGAUGGUAAUAUCAUUAUCAUCACACGGUUUCAUUGGGAGGAGCUCCAAAGAAAUCAACCGCGAAUCUGAGUUGUAAAGUGACCAAUUGUGAAGCACUCUUCGAGGAAGCUCAUCAGGACUAAUUGAAUCAAAGAUUAAAUACUCAUCAUUUUCCUCCUCACUGGGCUUGUAAUAUGCAGGCAGAGGAUAGUCAUCAACAAUUUCAUCCUCAUUGAUUUUACUGCAGAACUUGCUUGAUGAAGCAACUCUCCUCUGAGUUUUAUUAUGUUUCGUUGAUUGCCAAUUCUCCUCUUCCUGCAACAGCCUUGCCAAUUUCAUAUCUUUAUCUUCUUCACCUCCAGAAGCAGAUGAACUAGACUGAUAGUUUUGCUCUUCUUCACCAAUUCUCAUACCUGUAUUUAUGAGACUGCUGGAUGUACUGGUUUCCAGAAUAAUUGAACUCCCUUGCUUCUUAGUUUCAUCCAUCAGUGCAAGGAGCAGAGGCAAGUUCUCAAAGAUCUGAUCAUUUUUCUUGGAUGUCUCAUCUAAACCGAUGAGUUGAUUAUACAUGAAUCCACCCUGUGAGAUUAUAAAUUCCCUCGUUGAUGUCCUGUGAGGAAAAUUCUUGCUAUCACUCAUGGAACAAAAAACUCCUGCAAGCAAUUCAUCGACAGUCUGAUCAGGGUUCCCUCCACAAGAACUUGAAAGUUUUUUAUAGACCUCCACAGAGGCACGAGCCUUUUCAUAGAAAAGGUUUUAUAGUAUUUUAUAACUAUUAGCAGGUUUAACACAAUCAUAGUCUGCAGUGACAGUUGAAAUCCAAAAUACCGGUGAGCCUUCCUCAUAUCCAGAUAUUGCCCAAGAUUCAACUCGUCCGAAAUCUUCACAUCUAACACCUCUUUCCUUCUGUCUUCCACAACAUUUUUCAAGAGGCAAUAUAAGACCUGAAACGAACAAGUUUCCAACUUCCAACAUUUCAACAGACUUUAGGUUUCCACAAGCAUCAUGAAAAGCAAUUUCUGUUAGCCUUCGAUUUGGUCUCAAGUCGUCCUUUCCAGCGGUCAAGCUUAUUGCAACCUCUUCAUUUUCUGCAACAACUUCCCUUGUGCUUUCCACAAAAGAUGCACUUCCAGAGAGGGAAAGACAUUUAUCCAUGAUAUCCAUACAUGCAGCAGCUCUCUUUGGCAUUUUCCAAGAAUUGGAUGCUUUUUCACUAUUUUCAUGUCUACUUCUCUUUUGUUUUCCGGUCGUCUCAGACUUCUCGUCUAUUGUAUUAACUUCAAUGGCUGAAGAUUGCUUUCCCUUGGCUAUUUUUCCAUAUCUAGAAAUUAGUAUCCAAUUAAAAACAGGAAUAAAAGCAGAUACUAUUAAACUCCAUGGUUACUUUGGUAUAUGCGGGGAUCUACUUGUUUUUGUUUCACUUUAUUAAUUAAUUAGCGAACCAAACAUGUAAUCAUUUAAAAAAGGAUCAAUGGCACCAACUUACGAAAGAUGAAUUUGUAAGACAUUAAUUUAGAUGAAAAUGUAGUGUUAUUAAGUUAUGAAUUCAUUAACUUGAGGUAUUAAUAUUUACUAAUGAUGGUGAUUAAUUUAUUUAACUUGUCAUAAUCUUCAAUUAAGAAUGAAGUGCAAUCAAUUUAUGGAAAAAAUAAUAAUUUUUUUAUUUUUUAAGAUUUUAAUUCUUAGGAUUUCAUUUAGUUCUUUUUCGAUUAUUGACGUUGUUGAAGAGGGCAAGAAAAGCUAAUUAACGCUUGACUAGUUCUGAAAAUAUCGGCAGCCAUCGACGGCAACUAUUAAAUGCACCGUUAUAUGGAUUUACGUUUUGCAAAUUGUGGAGCCGUGGCGGGAUGGUAAAAACUGUAAUCAUGUACCGUUAACAUUUACAUGGUUAAUGUCAUCGAGAUCACAUGGUUCUUAUUUAUGAAAAGAGAAUUGCUAGAAAUUUUGUUAAUCCACCAUUGCAACAAUUUAUUGUUAUAAAUUUCAUUGUUUCCCAUAUAACAAAUAUAAUAAAAUCUUGAUAUAUUAAUAGCUCUGGGACCAUGAAAUAAUUUAUUAAAAUUUAACUAAUAUCAAUUAUUCGAUAAAUUAAUUAAUUAUUAAUUUAUGAAAAUAUUCAUUAUUUUAGAAAAAUAUGAUUACGUUUAUAGUAUUGAUUUACCUAGAGUUGGAAUAUGUUAUGUUUUAUUUGAAUAAUACUUUUCUUUUAAGAAUAUUUUUUAAUAGUUAACUGCUUUAUAAUUUCAAAUAAAGAAGUAGAUGAUACUGACGUUGAAUAAUUUUUUGCCGCAAAAUAACAAUACCAACUAGGAUUUCUUUUCGCAUUACAAAAAGUUAAAGACGAGAUCUAAGUUGAAAUUAAUUUAAAAAAGAAGCAAACAAUGCUAAGAACAUAUUUUACCCAAGCUAUAUGGACAUGUCAUAUGGAUUUCGUUUUUAUACUAGGUAAUUAUUAAUUUAUGUGAUAACAUAUUUCCUUCAAACUAUAGUAUUUGAAUUUGAAAUUUUUUUAAAAAAAUUUAGUAUUACAAUUGAUGGUUGUCGAAGCCAACAAAAAUAAAUACCUACUCUAAAUAAAUUGUGUAUAGUGAUUGAGCAGGGUCGUGUCCACAGAGAUCGGUAAUUAUUUAAAUCCUUUUAAAACGUAAAACAUAAAAUGGGGGUUUUGUUGACAAUAAUAAAAAUCAAAUUAAAAUAACAAGAAUGCAAAUUAAAGUUGUAAUUCAAAUUGGAGAAAGCUCUGGUUGAAGGAAUUAACUCAGCUUGAUUCGACUACUGAUCAUUGAUUCAAAUAUAAAUUAUUAUUACUUAUGAAUAGACCGGUUAUAGCUACUGAGACCCUCUAAUAGCCAAUUUCUCCUUAACUAGUCGAUAACCAAGGUACGACCGUUGGUUAUUUCCCUAAUCAAUAGACAACCCUAGAUACGAUCAUAGGAUUUAAUCAAUUGACAGCCAGAAAAACUAGAGAGACCCAAAUCCUAAUCAACAAACACAUACGAUGGUUAAUUUAAAUUAGAUUGUUUAUUCUCACAACACAACUCUCUGCUAUGUUAUUUGUCACAAACAUUAAAAUCUUCAUACGAUGAAUCCUUUAAUUGACAAUAGAUUAAGUUGAUAAUUAAAUAGUGGCCAAUUACCUAAUUAACAAACAUAAUCAUGAAAAUAAUUUAGAGAAUAAACAAAUACCCAAAAAGCAAUAAAACAAUUAAAGCAUAAGAAAGAUCUCACAGUAGUGAUGAAUCAAAGCUUCAUUAACCUUCAACCAGAAAAAUAGGUUUAGUUCUUCAUAGAGAGAAGAGAAAAGUUUAGAUCUAGGAUUUCUUUCUUUUUUCCAAUCUCCCCUUUUUUUCACAAUAGAUUCCUCCCUUAAAUAUUCUCUCUCUCUUCUCCUUUAGAUUUCUAUUUAAAAUAAAAUACUAAUAUAUGAAAUAUUAAAUUCGUAAUUACAAAAAUAACCAAAACUACAAAACACGUUAAACUAAAAACUGCAGGUCCGUAGUUGAUAGCACGCGCCCACGCCUUAUCAACAAAGUUCUUCUGACGCUUAUAAUUUCUCCAAGGGAACAAUCAUCCUUAAACAUCAUUUUAUAGCUCAAUUUUAUCACCAAUCAAUAGAAUUACACCUACAAAAGUAAAACACAAGUAAAUCACUAUUAUUAAGUGCAAAACAUCAAUAUUAAGGAAGUAAAUAAUGCAAAACCAGUGCAUAAAUUGCACUCUAACAAAUUCCCCCACACCAAGAUGAUGCUUGUCCUCAAGCACAUAACUCAAGACUAAUCCCAAAUCUCCACUCAAUUCUCAUCUCAACUCAUCCAAAAAUAAUUUUAAGCAAGCAUACCUCAAGAAAUUAAGUCGAUCAACAUUCGAGAGACAAGGAUUUUAAAGCAUAGAAUCUCAUAAGAUAGAAUAAAAGAAAAACAUCCAACCACCAAGAAGAUCCAUUCAAAAUUCAAGUGCAACAAUAUUUAAUAGCCCUCUCAUUGACUUCACUCCAUGCACUCAAAGUGUUUAGGGUAUCAUUUAUGCACUCAAAUCAAAUCAAAGAAUGCUAUUGCCAUAAGCUUGCUCAUAUAUCACAUCUCAAUCCACAAAACAUGAAUAAAAUGCAAAAAUCUAAGGGUCUUAAAAAGGUUGUAAUGGGGUUAAAUAUGUUAAAUGACAAAGAAAGGUCUACGAAAGAAAAAGAGAUCAAAAUGAGAAUAAUGAACUCAUUGAAUGAACUUAUGAUAUCAAAAUGCUUAUUUCUACUCAAGUCACCAAGAAUGUAAACAUUUUUUUUUCGAUUUUUUUUUAUUUUUCUUUUUCUUUUUUUUCUUUCUCCUUUUCUUUUUCUUUUUUUUGUUUUUUUGUUUUUUUUUCGAAUCAAACAAAAGAAACGAAUCUUGCACAAUUUAAUUCAAGCAUAAUGCUUGUUGAUCUAAUUGAGAAACUUUAAUACAAAUUAGAAAAAGCAACAAAAUAUAUCCACACAAUGAGUCCAAAAAUCUCCUUAAAUUGAGGCUCAAAAAGAAGAAAAAUGGUUAAGUAGACGGAGAGAAUUAGAUGGGUAAUGGUUAAGGCUCAAACAAAGAUAGCAAAUAAAGGUCUUCGGGUAGAGAAAAAAAUGCGAGAAUAGAAAAAUGGAAAAUGGUUUGCCCUUAUCAUUUUAAUGCAUAAAAUCCCAUAAUGCGGCUUCAACAUGCAUAACAAAGCAAGUUUUAGAAUAAACAAACUAAGAUUGAUAUUCACAUAACAAAAAUAAUUAGAGCAAAGUGGUUGCUCAUAGGCUCAAAUCCUCACAAAGUUAGUAAAUUUGCCAUCAAAUCAUGUACACUCUUCAAAUGAAUCAAUCAUCAAUAGUGGUGUAGAAUGAGAAGAAUGUAUGAGUGAUAUAUAAAAGGAAAGGUAAAAAGGAUAAUAAGCGAUAAAGAUGUAUGUAGUAAAAAAAAAAUGAAAGAUAAAAUGUGAGUGAUGAAAGAGUAUGAUAGAAUAAAAAUAGAUGUAAAUAAUUUGAGAUAGAUGGGAAAAGAGUAGUGAGAAAGAAAAGAAAAGAAAAUUAAUAAUAUAUGAAGCAUACUAACUCCAAAAUCAUUUAAGGAUGAGUAGAGUGAAAAUAAUACUUCCAGACAUCAAUAAUGCAAAAAUCCCUCCCCCACACCAAGAACUUACAUUGUCCCCAAUGUAAGAUAAUCAAAGCUCACAUAAAAAUUAAAGGGUAAUGAUAAAAGAUUAAAGGCAAAAACUUCCCUGAAUUGUGAGCUUUGAUCCUCAUAACGUCUAUGGGCUUGGCGGAAAUGGUGGGACAGUUGCGCGCGGGCUGCUGCUGUGGGAGAUGCUGAGAUGCGUGGGUUGCUGGGCGUGCACGGCUGCUCGGUGAACGCAGCUGCUGCUCUGGUGAAGGCUGGAGCGGCUGGUUGCUGGGAAAGAAAACGAUUUUUUUUUUUUUUUUGGUGAUGAAUCACUUGAGACACUAAAAAUUUCAGAAGUAUUUUUUUAAUAAGCACGUGGGCACGCCUUAAAACCAUUUUACUUUAAAAAUCACAGAAGUACUUAUUAGUUAAGACGUGAGCACGCCUUAUCAAAAAUUUUCUUCUGGCCAAAAUAAGCAAACACAUUAUUUAAAAAAAAUCUGAAUCAAAAUUAAAAGAAGAUAUAACAAAAACCAAAAUAAAUAAAUCAUUUGGGUUGCCUCCCAAAAAGCGCAUUUGUUUUAUGUCUUUGGCUAGACACAUUUAUGCAUCAAUCUCCAUAAUUGGGACUCUCGAGAGCCACAUCCUCCACAAUAUUCACCGAAAAACCUUCAUAAAAAGGUUUUAAGCAAUGACCAUUAACCUUAAGAACUCUGUCAGAGGUCGGACUCCGAAUCUCAACUGCACCAUGAGGAAAAACAUUAGUAAUAAUAAAAGGUCCAACCCAGCAAGAACGUAAUUUACCCAGAAAAAGUUUAAGUUUAGAAUGAAAAAGAAGAAUUUUUUGACCAACAGAGAACUCCUUUCUCAAAAUCAUUCUAUCAUGAAAUGUCUUCGUCUUUUUCUUGUAAAAAAAACUUCCUGCACUAUAGGGUUAAUAACAUCCACAGAAAAUACCAAAUGUUCCUCAUUAGGAUAUUUCAUGGCAUCAUUCAUAUUGAAUUCUAUAACCUCUCCAUCAAACUCCAUAGUGAGAGUCCCUUUAUGUACAUCCAUUUUAGUCCUAGCAGUCUUAAGAAAAGGUCUUCCUAGCAAAAUUGGGACAGAAUUAGAGGAGUUAUCAUCUUCCAUAUCAAGUACAUAAAAAUCAGCAGGAAAAACCAACUCAUUAACUUGUACUAAGACAUCUUCUAAUACCCCAUCAUGAUAUGCAUUAGACCUAUCAGCUAGUUGAAUUAUCACACCAGUUUCUUUUAAUGGACCAACAUUCAAAGAUGAAUAAAUGGAACGAGACAUGACAUUAAUAGAAGCUCCUAGAUCUAACAUAGCCUUUUCAACUCUAAUACUACCAAUUUUACAAGGGAUAGUAAACAUACCUGGAUCCUUGCACUUAGGAGGUAGUUUCUUUUGGAGAACUGCUGAAACAUUCUCCCCCAUGUGAACUUUUUCAUCUCCUCUUAAUUUUCUCUUCGAGGUGCACAGUUCCUUAAGUACUUUAGCAUAUCGAGGUAUUUGUUUUAUAGCAUCUAAUAAAGGAAUAUUUACCUCAACCUUGCGAAAUGUCUCAAGGAUGUCUUUCUCUUGUUCCUCCUUCUUGGAUUUUGCAAACCGGCUUGGAAAAGGAGGAGGUAUCACAAUAGGUAGGGGUUUUGCUCUGAUGGGUUGCACAUCUUGAGAUUUAGGCAUCAAUUCAUUCUUCUCAAGCUCAUCUUCUACAUGCUUUGUCACUUUCUUACUAGGCUCUUGCAACUCCUUCCCACUUCUAAGGAUGACAACAUUAACGUUUUGCUUUGGAUUCACCUCAGAUUGUGAAGGCAAUCUCCCUAAUACUUGAGACUCCAGACGGCUCACUGUAGUCGCCAAUUGACUCAUUUGGUUCUCCAAGUUCUGAAUGCUUGCUGUAGUUGCCUGCUGAAAUUGUUGAGUGUUAGUCGCAAGUGAUUUAACAAUUUCUUCAAGAGAUAUGCCUGACUUGGAGUUUGACUGUGGAGGUGCUGGUUGUCUUGGUGGAUACUGAUGUGGGAAUCCUGACGGCCUAACUCCAUAGCUGAAGUUGGGAUGAUCCUUCCAUCCCGGAUUGUAUGUUUGUGCAUAAGGAUCAUACCUCCUCUGAGGCAUGCUUGGAAAUCCUCCAACUGCAUUGGCUUGUUCAACGGGUUCUUCUUGAAGUGUAGGACACAUAUCAGUUGAAUGACCCAUAUUGUAACAAAUGCCACAAGUCUUCACCUGUUGCACAUUACCUACAACAAACUUUUCCACAAGAGAAGUAAGUUUAUCUAAACGUUGUUCAACAAAAGAAAUAUUUACCUCAUUCACCUUCCUUGAAGUGGGAUCUUGCCUGCUACCAAAUUGUUGUGCAUUGGCAGCCAUAUUUGAGAUCAACUCCCUUGCUUGUGCAUUGGCAGCAUCUAUCAUACUCCUAUCCAUUAAUGACAGUCCUUCGUAAAAAUAUUGAAUAAGAAGUUGAUCAGAAAUCUGAUGCUGAGGACAGCUGGCACACAAUUGUUUGAAUCGCUCUCAGUACUCAUACAAAGUCUCCCCAGGAAGUUGUCUGAUCUCACAAAUAUCUUUUCUGAUGUUGGCAGCUCUUGAAGCAGGAAAGUACUUCUCGAGGAACUGCUUCUUCAAUCCAUUCCAUGUUGUAAUCGAUCUAGGAGGCAAGUAGUACAACCAAUUUUUAGCUAGUCCAUCUAAAGAGAAAGAAAAAGCACGCAGCUUAAUCUGCUCUUCAGUCACGACUUGUGGUCUCAUACUUGAACAUACAACAUGAAACUCCUUGAGAUGUUUAUGAGGAUCUUCACCUGCAAAACCAUGAAACUUGGGUAAUAAAUGAAUAAGACCAGACUUUAAUUCAAAAUUUACCUCCAAGUCUACAUAUUGAAUGCAGAGUGGUUGCUGAUUCAAGUCUGGUUCAGCUAACUCUCUACGAGUUCUUUCUACAAGUGCAACUCUAUCCAUCACUUGUUCUUCUGAAUCGCUAGAUGAUUCAACUAAAUCAGGCACCGUAUUUGUUUCAGAAAGCAAAGGCGACGAGGAUCGUUGCUUAGCUUGCUUCGUCUGCUGUCUCAGCUGGCGAGCUGUCUUCUCAAUUUCAGGAUCAAACGAAAGUGUACUUGUACGAGAAGAACGAACCAUACACCAAGUAAAACGUAAAAAAAGAUUAAAUAAACGACACCAAUCCCCGGCAACAGCGCCAAAAUUUGAUGGUUGUCGAAGCCAACAAAAAUAAAUACCUACUCUAAAUAAAUUGUGUAUAGUGAUUGAGCAGGGUCGUGUCCACAGAGAUCGGUAAUUAUUUAAAUCCUUUUAAAACGUAAAACAUAAAAUGGGGGUUUUGUUGACAAUAAUAAAAAUCAAAUUAAAAUAACAAGAAUGCAAAUUAAAGUUGUAAUUCAAAUUGGAGAAAGCUCUGGUUGAAGGAAUUAACUCAGCUUGAUUCGACUACUGAUCAUUGAUUCAAAUAUAAAUUAUUAUUACUUAUGAAUAGACCGGUUAUAGCUACUGAGACCCUCUAAUAGCCAAUUUCUCCUUAACUAGUCGAUAACCAAGGUACGACCGUUGGUUAUUUCCCUAAUCAAUAGACAACCCUAGAUACGAUCAUAGGAUUUAAUCAAUUGACAGCCAGAAAAACUAGAGAGACCCAAAUCCUAAUCAACAAACACAUACGAUGGUUAAUUUAAAUUAGAUUGUUUAUUCUCACAACACAACUCUCUGCUAUGUUAUUUGUCACAAACAUUAAAAUCUUCAUAUGAUGAAUCCUUUAAUUGACAAUAGAUUAAGUUGAUAAUUAAAUAGUGGCCAAUUACCUAAUUAACAAACAUAAUCAUGAAAAUAAUUCAGGGAAUAAACAAAUACCCAAAAAGCAAUAAAACAAUUAAAGCAUAAGAAAGAUCUCACAGUAGUGAUGAAUCAAAGCUUCAUUAACCUUCAACCAGAAAAAUAAGUUUAGUUCUUCAUAGAGAGAAGAGAAAUGUUUAGAUCUAGGGUUUCUUUCUUUUUUCCAAUCUCCCGUUUUUUUCACAAUAGAUUCCUCCCUUAAAUAUUCUCUCUCUCUCUUCUUCUUUAGAGUUCUAUUUAAAAUAAAAUACUAAUAUCUGAAAUAUUAAAUUCGUAAUUACAAAAAUAACCAAAACUACAAAACACGUUAAACUAAAAACUGCAGGUCCGUAGUUGAGAGCACGCGCCCACGCCUUAUCAACAAAGUUCUUCUGACGCUUAUAAUUUCUCCAAGGGAACAAUCAUCCUUAAACAUCAUCUUGUAGCUCAAUUUUAUCACCAAUCAAUAGAAUUGCACCUACAAAAGUAAAACACAAGUAAAUCAUUAUUAUUAAGUGCAAAACAUCGAUAUUAAGGGAGUAAAUAAUGCAAAACUAGUGCAUAAAUUGCACUUUAACAACAAUAGUAGUCGUGAUUCGAUUGGUUUCAAUUUUAUAAGAAAAAAGUUGGGGAAAUAGACAAACAAUGAAGGAACAAGUUAAGGAGAGCCAAUAAACAGGGAAAAGUGAAUUAGUGCCCUUGAGCACAUUAAUAAUCUCGGCUUUCUAUGUACAAUUUUGUAAAUUCAUGUCAUAUACCAGAGUCUUUUGGGUUUUGUUGCAUCAAUUCUUUGGGGUUUAUCUUGUUUUAUUAUUUUAUGAUGCAAGAGUCCUAGUAGUGCUGUAUGUGGAGUAAAAAUAUUUAAUUUAUUUUUUGUUAUUAUUAGCAAACGUUAUUAUUAAUUAAUCAACCCAUCGAGGUAUAUUGAUUUCUUUGUAUUAGCUAAUUGCUUAAUGCUUUUUUGUGCUUCUCGCCAUGAAAUCACGAAGUACUUGCAAAUAAGAUCAUAGAGGUGGUGUGUUGUGAUGUGAUAAAAUCAUAUCUAAAUUAAGAGAUGAUUCAUAUAUAGACACUUACUGAACAAGGAUAUUUAAACACAAGCAUUUAAUUUUACGAUAUACCUAAUAAUCAAAGGUUUAAUGCUCAGGUUAAAACGGAGUGAAUAGAAAUAAAUGUAAAAAGAUAAAAAGAUGAACAAGUGAACAUGAUAAUUUAUUAAAUAAAAAAUUAAAUUUAUAUCUAUUUUAAUAAGUGUGAAAUCAUUUAAUUUAUUUUGAGCACUCAUUUUUUAUUGCAAAAAACUUCAUAAUUUCAUUUACUAAUAAGGACAAUUCAAUAUAAGUAAAUAGGACAAUAAUAUUUUUGACAUUCAUGUAGCGCCCACACAUUCAUGUAAAAUUCUUAAACCUUAAACUGGAGAAUACUCUUCAUCAAAACUCAUUUAAAAGCAUAUUUCUUUGACUUAGAUUUUGAGGAGGUUCUAUGGGAAUAACCAACUGCUGAAAAACAAAUAAAAAACCAGAUAUAAGUGUAGAAUAUUCUCAUUAGAUUUUAAUGUUUUGCACAAACAUGGCCUGCAUAUAUACACAAAUAACUGUUCUACGAAUAUGUAGAAGCAAUCUCAACUGUCCAAUUUUUUUUUUCAAAUUUUAACGAAUAUAAAUUGUAUAUGUUGGAUAACUAUAGAAAAUAAGAUUAGGAAAAUGAUAUUAUCAAUAAAAAGGGAAAGCAAAUGCAUUUAAUAUUGGUGCGAUGAAUAUUCUUAUGGGUGUAAUAAGAAAAACAAAGAUAAUAAAAGGAAUGCUAUUGGUCUUUCAUAUGAUGCACAAAUUACCUUUAUCAAUUCUAUUAUAUAAAUACUCAUAAAUUUUACCCAAAUUAUCAAAAAAAAGAAGAAAAAAAUCAUAUAGUUAAUUUUUCUUCUUCUUUACUCCAUUAUUCAAUAGGAGUAUAAUAAACUAGGAGAAAGGAGAAAUUAAGGAGAAAAUUAGGGUGAUUAUUGCAAUGAUAAGAACCCAGGCAAGUGCUUAUUUCAGGUACAUGCGUGGCAUUCAUUAAUUUGACCAAAAAUAAAUGAAUUUAUUUGUAUUUUAAUUAAAAUCGAGGGACAUCAACAAAAUUUUUCUUCUCCAGGAAUUUAUCAUUUUCUCGUUAAGAAAAAAAUUGCAUAAAAUUAAGAAACCAGUAGUCACUGAACGGGAGAAACAGAGUAAGGAGAGUUCAAAUUUCAAAAGAUGGAACCCGAAGAAGAAACCCUAGCAACGAUCCCAGAAGAAGAAGAAGAUGAUGAUGAAGACACGGCCAUGCCCAACGUUAAGCAAAACCCUAAAACAAAAACAAAAGACAACUCUUGGGACUCGAGCGAUGCCUCUGACUCUGACUCGGAUUCUGACUCAGAAGACUAAGCAAAACAGAACAUGGAGCUUCAAAACUAGAGUAUCAGCUAUCCAAUGAACCUUCCAUUUACGACAUCCAUGUUCAAGUAACUUCAAUACGCAUACUUAUUCAGUGAUUUUGUGGAUACCCAUUUGCUUGUUCUUUCUUAAUUGGGAUGCGGUAAAAAUAGCUUUUUUUUUUCUUCAGUAUAUAAAGGUUUUCAGAAAAAUGGGUGAGAUAGAGAAGCUGAGACAAGCUAGGGAAGCGAUGAAAGAGAUUGUUUGCAUUGACUCCUGCUAGGUGGCAAGAAUGGGCGAGAGAUGAAGCCUCUAUUUCAACUGGGUAUCUGUCAUUUCUUUUUUGCAGUGGUUUUCGAUUUUCUGAACAAAUAUUUUUUCGCUUAGAGAUAUAGAUGUUUAUGUUGUUAUUUGCUGGAACAAAACCUGCUUAAAAGGUAUUAAAGAAAGAAAAAGAGAACCAAUUUGAAGAAGGGGAUAGUUAUAGUGGGAGUUCUAUUCUUUAGGGUUUAAUUGAUGGGAGAAGAAACAGCUUAUAUGUUUACAGAAUUAGACAUUUGAUCACUGAUUUAGUUGAGGAAGAUAUUUAAUCACAAUGUCUGAUGUUGUUUCUGUUGGCCUCAGCUAAUUGUUAAGAUUUCAUACUUUCAUUCAACAAUGCAAUAGACUUUGGUUGGGUCCACCUUAGUUGGGUGUUCUGCGGAACCAAUGAGUGUCUUGAGAAAACUUGGGUGGAGUGUGGAUCAUUUUCAGGAUUUAGUUUCCAAGAAAACAAAAACAAAGUCGUAGUCGUAGUUUAAAUUUAUUAAUGUUUUUGUCUUUUUCUGUGAGCCCAGUGAGCUUUUGUUUUCACUUUGUUCUCUUUUGCUUCUUUCCCUUCUUUUCCUGUUGUUUCUUGACAAUCAAGCAGAUCAGGAUUAAGUGUUUACUUUUGGUCUAAUUAUUCACUCUAACUCGAAUAAUACAUAGGUUUAGUGCUAUCAAAAUAGGAAGUGAAUUAAUAUCUGAAGCUGACUUGGGAGUGGAAUGUAUGUUACUAAAAAUAUAGUAUUAUGGUAGAUAGAAUUUGCUUUUUAGGUAAGACUAAAAUAAUUACCGCUGUUAAUUUAUUUCAAUAAGUUCGUACAUCAUUCGAUAAUAAGUCCAAGAUUUUAAUGGUUUUGUUUCCUGAAAAUUUUUCAUCAGUGCAUGAACAAAGUUCAAUGGAUGAACUUCUCUCAGUUAAUUCGAGUUUUGUAUGAAACACUAAUCUUGCUCUGUACUUUGGAGUAUUUUAAUAAUUGAUGUUAAGAUUUGCUAAUGUAAAAAGGAAGAAAAUCUGCUUAAAGGUAUUAAAGAAAGAAAAAAAGAACCAAUUUGGAGAAGGGAAUACUUAUAGUGGGAGUUCUAUUCUUUGGGGUUUAAUUGAUGGGAGAAGAAACAACUUAUACGUGUACAGACAUAGACAUUUGACUGCCGAGUUAGCUGAGGAAGAUAAUUAAUCACAAUGUUUGAUGUUGUUUCUGUUGGCCUCAGCUAAUUGUUAAGAUUUCAUACUUUUUUCUGGUUUUUCAUAACUGUGACCUAAAGCUUAAUGAAUACUUUGAUAAUUACAUAAUCGGUUUCUUGCUGAUACUUGGCUUUAAUUUGUAGACCUGAGGUUCUUUUGGGAGUAGGCAAGAUUUACGAAAGAGGAGUUUCUGAUUAUCUGGUUUGUUCUCUUUAUGCCUACAGAAUUUGAAUUCAUACUAUGCAUGAAUUUAUGAUUCUUUGAGAAAGAUUUGAUGAAAUUGAAGCAUUAUAGUAAAGCGUACCACUGGUAAGCUUGAUUCACUUUGUUUUUAUUUACUACCAAGAGGUGCUAAUAGUUUAUGAUGCACAAAAAGAGGUGGGGAAAAAAAGAAAUCUUCUUGCUAGAUUUAAUAUUUGAAUCAUUUUCAACCAAAGAAACGUGAUGAAGAGCAGCAUUUUCGUCUAUAUCAAAGUUCAAUUGCAUCCUAUAUCAUCUGUUUCCAUCUCCUUUGUGGUAAAUAAAGUCCUUGAUGAUGACAAUAAGAACCACAGAAGAAGUUAAUUUCAUAUCUGGAGAUUUUCAUCAUAGUUGUUCAUUGAAAUUGAAGGCAGCUGAGUACUCCUUUUUCUGAUGCAGUCUGUCCCUCUUUGGUGUGAUUAUUUGAAAUUUGUGCAAGGAUAUGAUCCAUCUAUACGAGAAUGUGCCUAAUAAAAUAUCACAAAGGUGCCUAAUACAGUGAAAUUAACAUAUUCAGCUCAUGAGAUUGCCAUUAUAUAUAUUGAAAAAGAAAUUAAUAUAAGAAACUGAAAAUUAAUUGACACUGGAUCAUGUUGGAUUGUUAGUUGUUAAUUAUGAUGGGAAUAUAAUCUUGGUCUUUUAAUUAUCAUCUAGCUAAUGCAUGUGCACUUUCAUUUGUGUCUAUCACUGAAGAAUAAAAUUGCUUGAUUGAACAGCAUCAUAUGAAAGAAACUGAAAACUCAAUUUCAUUGCCCGAGCAUACCAUGCCAUAUGUAGCUCAAAAGUGCAAUUAACAUUGAACAUUCAGCCAGCUAGCUCGUACUAAUUAAUUUAUAGGAUGGUUAGUUCUUUAUGAUUCACUAAAAGAGAAAAUAUUUAACAAUCACGAAAACAACAACAAUUCACUCCCAUAAACAACAUAAUAGAUACAUGGUCUAUAUUGCAAGUCUUUUUAUGAUUUUAAUUAAAAAAGAAAACGCAAAGGACAUAUUAUAUAUAAUUGAAUGUUCUCCUUGAUAAUUAGACAAAAUAACACCAAUCUUGGUAACUAAUACAAUCAUCAUAAUUAUCUGAUUUUCAUUUUAAUUAUGUCCAAUCAUGCUAAUUUAAUAAAGAACACUGAAUACAUGAGUAUUUAUAUGUUCAACAACUUUGGCUGAGUAUGAAAAAUAUAAGAGCUGCAUUUAUGCUUUGUGUUAUUAAGUAGGACAUGACCCUAUUAUGUUGCAUUUGUCAGAAAACUGAAAAUUAUCGAAAAGGAUCCUAAAAGAGAUGUGUUGAAUUGUGAGCUUAAAAAUGAGUUUUAGAAGUUUCUUACAUGUUGGUUUGUAUCAUUGAUUGUGCAUGCCCUGUUGGUUUCUGGAUGAAACAGGAGAAUAUGACAUCUGUGUAUUGUCUUUUACUUCCAGUAAGUGAAUCACAUGUUCUUCACAUGAUUUGACAUACUUUAUACGGAUUUAGCGGUUGUUUUGGUCACUUGAGUUAAGCACGUGAUUCAAGGUUGUUAACUGACCAUUGUAAGGCGGGAAAAUUCUGGGUUUCUUACAACAAACCCAGAAGGCAGCUGGCGGGUGGGAGAUAUUUCUAGAUUCUUCAUGAUAUGUAUAUAUAGUCUUAGAGGCUAUAGUUGAGCCAUAUGAAAAGCUUGUAACUUCUUAAUGUUUGUAGCUUGUUCUUGGUUAUUGCUCUGACGAGGGAAGUGAGCUAAAAUAACAUCAACUUUUAUUUAUGGACAGGUUAAGAAAAUUUUUGAGUUCCUGAAAAAUGGCUUCCAUGAGAUCAGCAGUUCUUUGGAUUUAUCUUUCGAAUAUGAUUUGGUUGCUGAUGAGAAAAUUCCAUUCCUAGCUUAUCUUACCAGUGUUCUAAAGGACCAUUCCUUUUUCCCAUAUGAGCCACCAGCUGGGAGCAAAAGAUUCAAGAAUCUGAUUGCUGACUUCAUGAAAAUGUACCACCAUAUUCCUUCACCACGCAUCUGUUUUUUUACUUCUCUGGACAAGUAAUUUUUGUAUUGUCUGUCCUAGAUUCUGUUUUCCCUGAUGCAUUAUUUCAAUUUCUUUGCACGUGAAGUCCUAGGAUCUGUUUCCCUUGAUGCAUUUUUUCAAUUUCUUUGCGUGUGAACUUGGAGCAUUGAUAUUAGUUUAGGGGUGAAUCUAUUGGUCAUUUUCUUGUUUGUAACAAAUAACGUAUGAAACAAUCUUGUUAUUUUUUGUUCUCAAUAUGUAGAGCUCUAUGGACCAAUUGUUUGUCUUCUGUUAUCCUCAUUAGAAUUUCUUCAGACUACUUCCACUUCAUGCUAUUUGUGAUAAGUUGUAUUGUUUUUGUGGUCUUUCUUAUGUCUGUUGGACAAAUACUGUAAUAUGAAAUUUUAUCUAAUGGUCCUAUAUUCCUUUUGCAUCAUGUCCCCUCUAGUAGUUAAAUGUAUUUUUGGAUUUGUCAAUUAUUUGGUUUGAUGAAAUCUUGAUUCUCAUGUUAUCUAUCUGUUCAUUCAACUUGACCAUGGAAUGUGUUGUUGCUGUGAGUUACGCUGCACGUGCUAGUUAUUCGUCUAGUCUUUUUAUGUAAACAUACGGGUUCGGAUGUACUCGUAUAUAUACUGGACCUUAGAUAUUUGCACCUGACCUACUUAUUGAUGUACGUGUAAUAUGAAGAACAUUUUGAGAUCUGGAAUGGAUCAAGACCUGCAAUUUUUAUUUGUAGAUUUUCCACUCUCCAGUCCAAUUAUAAAAGACAGUUUGUGAAUGCUGCAUGAAUAAACUAGCCAAACUUAAAGAUGCUUAAUUGCCUCUUUCUCUUCUUUUGUAUACGAGUAAAACAAUCCACAUUCCUAACUUUUCUUCUCCACUUGUUUCUCAAAAAAAAUUUUCUUUCCUUCAAGAGCUGUGUGGCAAUUGUGAAUGCUCUUCAAUUGUUUUCACCUCGCCUUGAACAUCUAACCAGACGCUUACCGAAGCAAUGGUUAACAAGUUUAGCAAUCAAGGUAUGAUCUAUUUCUGAUUUAUUUUUGUGUUAUUUUUGACAUAGUUGAAGAUGUCAUUUUUUGGCAGAUUUUCUUUGCUAUUCUUGGAACAAGUAAUAGUGCUUAUUGCCUUGUUUGCACACAUACUAGUCUAGACACGCCACAGAAGUUUUUGGAUGAUGAAAUAUCAGAUAGGAACUCAGCACAUUGUUUACCUGUUGCCUUUAUUCCUCAAGUGACAGUAAAAACUAGUAAUUGCAGUAGAUGAUAUAUUUAAUGAAAAUUAAUGGGCAGUCAGACUUUUGUGUUGACAUGAAGGGGGAGAGGACAAAAAGUCGAAGUAAUAUAUGAGUGCUGAGUGGAACAUGUUAAUGCUCAUUUGGAAAAUGGGUGAGGAUCACAGUGCCAAAGCUUGCAGCCUAAGGUUAUCAACAUUGAUGAAGAGGCUGCUGGUAAUUCUUCCGGUGAAGAUAUUAACGCCACGAAAGCUUAAAUGUAAUUGAUUAAAGGAAGAAGUGCUUGCUUUGCUUGAUGUGCUUUUCGCUUAUGAUCUUUUCCUGGUUUUGUUGUGAGAUGUUUCUCUUUGGAUUUUCUGUUUAUUGUACUUUGAUGGGUUUUUGAGGAUGACUUGUAUGUAUUAACAACAAUAAAGUGCUUUUCAUAAAUCCCUAGUCCUACAGCACUAAAAGAAAUUAAUACACUUGGUUUAUUGUUAAUAAUAUAUAUAUAUAUAUAAGCGGACGCUGUAUAACAAUAGAAAGAGCACCCAACAUCCCAAGAUCUUCCAGCAAAUUAAUGAGAUUACUCCUGUACACGAUCAAAAUAAUUACAAUUUUAUUGUAUGUAUAUGUGUGUGUAUAUAGACACACGGCGUAUACAAAAAAUGUAAAUAAUUUUCAAAUAUUAAACAUUUAAAAUAGUCAGCAUAUUAACAAUUUACAAUUUAGAUUAUACGUAGACGAAAUAAUGGUAACAACAAUAAAGUACUUUUUAUAAAUCCUAGUCCUACAGUAGUAAAAGAAUUAAUGAGCUUGGUUUUUAUUAAUAAAAAUUAAAAAAAAAAUCUUUUUCUCCAAAACUUAUUAUGAAUUUUAAGGAGGAAGAAAAAAAAAGUCCUAUUCCAAUUCAUAAAGAGAAGAUACACACGCAUUUGCCGAAGUCUAUGAAGAGAAAUUAAAGUUUCAAGAGCUGAACAAUGCAUUUUAUUGUUUAAUUAAAAAAUUCGAAAAUCCAUUGGCCUUAUAUACAUGAUAAAGACUCACCGACGCCGAACCAUAUUAAUUUAACCGUAUAUAACCGUACAGCAGAAGGAUAAAUAAAAGAAAAUGAAGUUUCAACAGCUGAAUAAUGCAAACUCAUUUUCUUUUUACAAGCAUUUUAUUGUUUAAUUAAAAAAUUCGAAAACCCAUUGGCCUUAUAUACAUGAUAAAGACUCACCGACGCCGAACCAUAUUAAUUUAAAUUAGUUUUCAACUGAGAUUUGAAUUUUGAAAUUACAUACAAAAACACGCCCAUUUUUUUUUAAAUACUAAUAAUAAAAUAUUUCAUUUUUCAUCUAUUACAACAAGAGGCAUAAUCGCAAAAGUGAAAAAUAUUUCAUUUAACAAGUCCCAAUAUUGUCCUCCAGCCUUUAUGCACUUCUCUGCUAUCAACGGACAACUCCAAAUCCAUAAUCGCAAAAGUGAGGAAGGCAGUCAUCCUCUGUUCAAUUAUCAAAAACUCCUUUUACCAUCCAUUUCAACGCCUAAUUUGAAAAAAGAAAAUACUAAUAAUAAUAAAAUAUUCCAGUCGUCCAUCCUUUCACAAAUCAAAAAUAUCACCAAAAACCAAUUUCCAAUCUAUUUCAAAACAAUUUUUGCCAAAGUCCUAUCCUCCACGGCUAAUUAAUUCAUACAUUAAUACAGUCCUCCUUUGCUGAAUAAUGCAAACCCGUUACGUUAUUCUACCAUUUCUUAAAUUUAAAGCAUUCCACCAUUUAAUAAAAAAAAUUCGAAAACCCAUUAUAUACAAUACAAAAAGCCCACCGACACCAAACCAUAUUAAUUUAAAAUAGUUUUCAAUUGAGUUUUGAAUUUUAAAAUUACAUACACUGAAACACACCCGAUUUAAAAAAAUAAUAAUAACGCUAACAAUAAAAUAUUUCAGCCGUCCUCUGCUGAGUCGUCAUCAAAAACCAAUUAACCAUAUAUAGCAACAAGCGGUAUAUGGGUUAACAAGUCCCAAUAUUGUCCUCCAUCCUUUCUGCACUUCUCUUCUAUCAACGGACAUCCCGAGAUCCAUAAUUCCAAAAGUGAGGAAGGCAGGCCCUUCUCCGGAAAGUAUUUGAGCUUGGGACAUCCCCGGAGAACCAAUUCAGUGAGGUUUCGAAGAUCAAUAAUUGAAGAAGAUAGGCGUUCCAGAUUUGGAAAAUCUUCAAUCCGCAGAGAUGUUAGAGUGGUAGGAAGACGAAGCACGGUCCCUAAUCUUUUGUCCUCUAGUGGAAAUGACACCAUCAUCGUGUCGUCAUCGCAUCCGUCGAUUGUAAGAUGUCGCAGAGAGGAGAAUCUGUGAAAUCCCCGGCCCCACUCAAUCAUUGACUUCCAAAUCUCCAUAUUACCCCGAAUAACAAGUGAAUGAAGGUUGGUGGGAAGGCCAUCUUCUUCAAGGCUUAGAAGCGCACCUCCUAUUGUUAAGUCUUGAAGAGUGCUCAGAUUGUGCAAUCCCUUGGGUAAGGCCUUUAGUCUCUUACAAUCAUAUAUCUCCAGCGCCGUGAGUUUCGCACAAGGCAAUCCCCCUCCGGGAAAGGACACCAGAUUUCCACAACUGCCAAUACUAAUCUCUCGAAGCUGGUGGAGUUUAUGUAAACCACUCGGUAAAAUUUUCAGAUUUUCACAAUUAUAAAUACUGAUUGUUUCAAGAGAUGUGUUGUUGUCCAACCUUUCUGCUAUUGACUCCAGCUUUGAACAAUACCGAACACGAAGGGACUUAAGAGACGGAGGUAGAUUGCCAACUUCAAGGGACUCAAGCGUGGCAGGUAACUCGUUUUUUGAAAAUAUACAUGUCAGUGAUGGACAAUAGCGAAUGCCUAAGUGCUCGAGAAGAUAUGAGGUGUACCUUCUGCUGCUGCUGCUACACUGGAUGCCCUCUUCCACUGUCAAAGUCCUUAUAUUAUCGCAAUACCAGAUCGUCAACAUCUUAAGGCUCGAUGGUAGCUGGACAGCAGCAAUAUAUGUCAACGAACGGCAACCAUGAAUACUCAAGAUCUCGAGAGACGAAUUAGUGUCGCACAUCCAUGCCUCUGGUAACGAUUUCAGUGCAUCACAUUCUCCAAUCUGAAUUUUCUUCAACUUGGAAGGCAGAGCAACCUCAGGAAAGGAAACAAGGGAACUGCACUUGAAGAUUUCUAUCUCUCUCAAGGAACUGAGGCUGAACGAUGAUUGUGGCAGCUUCACAAGGCCUUCGCAAUAACUCAAUAUUAGAUAUUCAAGUCUGCACGACAACUGGCAGAGCUGCUGUUGUUGGUCUUUCUCUUCCUCCGCGACCAAGGAUUGAAGUUUGGGACAACUUGUAAUCGUCAGUCUUUUGAGAGAGCAAAUGUCCUGCAGUAAUUCGUUAUGGCUCUUCCAUAUACAUGUUUCAUUUUGAAUAUUAUUUAUCUUCAAUUCUUCCAGUUUUGGUAUUCGCGGCUUCAAUGGCCCUGCGAGAAACACUUGAUUUGAUGCAUCUCUACAAACCACUGAAUUCUGUGAGCCGAGAUGAUCAGUUGCACUUCUCCACACAACCUUUUUACAUCCACCAAUUUCCAUUUUGCAAAGAGCUGGAAGACUCGUAAUUGAAAUGACAAUUCUUUGCAUUCUUGAAUAACAAGCAUCUCCAAUGCAGGAAGGUGCUCUGGAAAUGUUCCUUGCAGUUUAGAACAUCUUAAAAUGUGAAGCUCUCUCAAUUUAGGAAACCGUUCAACUCCCUGACUGGAUCCAUGAGGAAUCCAGUCUUCCCACUCUUGCAGGUCUUCAAAACGAAGAGUCUCCAAGCAUGGAAAUGGAAUUGGAGAGUCAUCCCCAUAGAACUCUGAACCCAAUCUCUUUACUCUACUCAUUCCACGCACUGUAAGAUGCUUUAGAGAGGGCAGUUGCCCGACAGACGGCAAGGCAGUACACAUGCCGCAAUCUUCAAAUUUAAGUGUUACCAAAUUUGAUAAUGAGGAAUCUCCUAACCAUGUUGGAAAUUUCGUACCUCCAUAGCCACAGACACAAAAUUGUUCCAGAUUUUUAUGGGGUUUGAGCAUGUCAAGCACGCCCAUUUCAGUUUCUGCCUCCCUUGAAGAUGAACCAUCGGUGCUGCAAGUCCAAUUAAGCGAUAAUUCUUUAAGGUUCUUCUUUCCAUCCAACCGAGCCUCCUUUGCAUCACCAAUGUCUUUUACAUUCUCUAAUUUUGAAAUUUCAAGUGCCCCACGAAGAUGCAUCAACAACUUUAGCUCUGAUAACCCCGAACCACUGUCUUUUCCCACAACAAAAUUACCCAGCGUUUGAAGACAAGUCAGCUUACCAAUUCCUAGUGGCAUUUCCUCCAGGGAAUCUGUAUUUGAAUUAUUGAGAUGAUGCAAUUUGAUGAGAUUUCCCAUGUCUGCACACAACUUCUUCAGUCGUCGACAGCCCUCCAACAGAAGGGUGUGCAAGUUGUAAAGCUUGCUGACUGAUUCAGGCAGAGUUUUAAUCUCAGUUCCAGACAGGUUGAGGUGCCUUAAAUACCUCAAAUCACCAACUGAAUCCGGCAGCUCGGCGAUGCGAUAUCCACGCAGAGAGAAGACCCUCAAUCGUUGGAGUUUGAACAACUCAGUAAGAAUGCUAGGAGCCAAGAAUCCAGGCCAGCUACUUAACAACGUUACUGGUAAAAGAGUUCGCAAGUGUUGGAUAUCGCACAAGUCCUCAAACCUUUUAACACCAUCGAAAUCUCCACGAAUGUACGACAAAUGACGAAGAUUUCUUGAAAAACUUUGCUGCUUGUUAACCUCUGAGAUAUACUCCAUUCUGAAGUACAUUUCCCCAGCAGCCCAUUGAGCAAGGUCAUUGACGAGGUCGUGCAUCACAAAUCGUGAUAUACUGUUGCUUGAUUGCUGGAAAAAAGAUCUUGCACGUAGCUCUUGAAAGAACUUUCGACCUAGAUCUUCACUAGGAUUCCCGCUCUCUCCGUGAUCCAAGAAACCCGAAGCACACCAUAAUAAAAUUAUCUCCUCCUCUUCAAAUUCGUAAUCCUUUGGAAACAAUGAGCAGUAUGCAAAGCAUUGUUUCAAAGUUGGAGGAAGAUAAUAAUAGCUCACUGCAAGGGCUGGUAUAAUGCGACAUCUCUCUUGUGGUAAUUCCCAUAUCUUGCUACUGAACACAUCUUCCCACUCACGUCUGUCAUGUUUUCCACGUAAAAGUCCUCCCAGUGUUUUUGCUGCCAAGGGCAAGCCAUUGCAUUUGAUCACUAUCUUCUUGCCAAUGUCCUCCAAUGACUUAUGAGAACUGAAAUCUCUCGUUCCCAAAGAGUGCUGAGCAAACACAGACAGACAAUCCUCAGUUGACAAGUUUUUCAAUUCAUAAGCUUGAUCCGGGCUCAUGAUUUUUGCAACCUCUUGAUUGCGAGUAGUGACAACAAUCUUACUUCCCUGUGCGCCAGCUUCAAAUGGAAGGCUGAGGUCGACCCAAUCAUUGUAAUCCUCAUUCCACACGUCGUCCAAAACUAGCAAAAAUUUCUUUCCAAACAGGUGUUUCUUCAAUUUCUCUUGAAGCAAAUUUAAGUCUUGAUUAUCCACAUUCUGGUCAGCAGCAAUGGAAAUUAGGAUUGAUUUUGUAAGCCUGAAAACAUCAAAAUCAUCAGAGACGCAAGUCCAUGCCUUGAGAUCAAAAUGAUCCUCCACCUGCUUAUCAUUAUAGACAAGCUGAGCAAGAGUGGUUUUACCCAGCCCGCCCAUACCUAUAAUAGGAAUAACAGAGAAUCCACCAUCAUUUCUUGAAUCAUCCUUCAACAACAAUUCAACAAUUUCCUUCUUUUCUGUUUCCCUGCCAGAGACCUUGGCUUCCUUCACCAAAGAGGUUGUGGGUAGUCUUUGCCUGUCUUUUUUGGACCUCCCAGCUGAACUUACGUUCAAACCCAGCGAGUCUUUCUGUGUUACAAUAUCUUGAAAUCGGUCGUUGAUCUCUUUGAUUUUGGAC
rnacentral:lncRNA from 1 species